rnacentral:lncRNA from 1 species
UCAUGUAAAUUCUAAUUCAAAGAAACAAUCUCGAAACACAACCUUGAAGAAGUCAUUGUAUCCCAUUAAUUCUACUUUAAUUGUCUAAGCACAGAGAAGUCUAGAACUUAGAACAUUUCAUACAAAAGCUACGAUCAAUACCUAGCGUUGACUCUAAGUACGUCCACACUAAACAGGAAUCAUUACGAUUUAUUAGAAUGAGAUUGAACAACAAACACAUAUCCGAGAAGUCGUAACAUGCAAUCGUUGUAGUUUAUGUUUUCAACCAUUAUUACAUAGUUUCCACCACUUUAGAUCUAUACUUACUUGAAGAAGCUUAGCACAAAUCAUGGUAAUCAGCUAGCAUGCAUUCUAGCUUUAGUAAUUUAAACAAAAACGCAAACUUUCAAUCAACAAAAAGUUGCAAGAUCAGAUCAUAGGAAAAUCAUAAACGAAAUACUAACAUGCUUUAUAAAAUUGUGAAUCCAGAGAACACAAAAGCAAACAAAACAUGCUUCCAAAACUCAAACUUAAUAUCCGAAACAUGCUAUUAAAUUUGUUAGAGAAGUCUAAACAAAAGUAAAGGUAGGUUUACACUUUGAUCAAUCUCCAAGAAAGCUUGAUGACGCCAAAGGGAUGCUCAGCUUCAGUGCUUCAAGUCACCAACGUUGCUGCCUUCAUGGAGAAGUCCUUGAAGGCUUGGCAAAGGAGGAAGAACUCGGCAAAGGUGGAGAAGAGGAGGCUCGGCUGCUGCUAGGGUUUUCUCUAAUUUUUAUGUGAAUGAACCACCCCAACUUGUGAAGCAGACAACCUCUANNNNNNNNNNNNNNNNNNNNNNNNNNNNNNNNNNNNNNNNNNNNNNNNNNNNNNNNNNNNNNNNNNNNNNNNNNNNNNNNNNNNNNNNNNNNNNNNNNNNNNNNNNNNNNNNNNNNNNNNNNNNNNNNNNNNNNNNNNNNNNNNNNNNNNNNNNNNNNNNNNNNNNNNNNNNNNNNNNNNNNNNNNNNNNNNNNNNNNNNNNNNNNNNNNNNNNNNNNNNNNNNNNNNNNNNNNNNNNNNNNNNNNNNNNNNNNNNNNNNNNNNNNNNNNNNNNNNNNNNNNNNNNNNNNNNNNNNNNNNNNNNNNNNNNNNNNNNNNNNNNNNNNNNNNNNNNNNNNNNNNNNNNNNNNNNNNNNNNNNNNNNNNNNNNNNNNNNNNNNNNNNNNNNNNNNNNNNNNNNNNNNNNNNNNNNNNNNNNNNNNNNNNNNNNNNNNNNNNNNNNNNNNNNNNNNNNNNNNNNNNNNNNNNNNNNNNNNNNNNNNNNNNNNNNNNNNNNNNNNNNNNNNNNNNNNNNNNNNNNNNNNNNNNNNNNNNNNNNNNNNNNNNNNNNNNNNNNNNNNNNNNNNNNNNNNNNNNNNNNNNNNNNNNNNNNNNNNNNNNNNNNNNNNNNNNNNNNNNNNNNNNNNNNNNNNNNNNNNNNNNNNNNNNNNNNNNNNNNNNNNNNNNNNNNNNNNNNNNNNNNNNNNNNNNNNNNNNNNNNNNNNNNNNNNNNNNNNNNNNNNNNNNNNNNNNNNNNNNNNNNNNNNNNNNNNNNNNNNNNNNNNNNNNNNNNNNNNNNNNNNNNNNNNNNNNNNNNNNNNNNNNNNNNNNNNNNNNNNNNNNNNNNNNNNNNNNNNNNNNNNNNNNNNNNNNNNNNNNNNNNNNNNNNNNNNNNNNNNNNNNNNNNNNNNNNNNNNNNNNNNNNNNNNNGUAUGGACGAGUGUAAAUACAUACAUAUAUUAUAGAGUCUGAGUAGGCUCAAUAUUUAUGAGAUUAAAAGUUUAUCGCUUGCGGCAUGCAUUCGUAUUUUUCCUUAGAAAUUAAUUUGGGAAACAUAAAUAUUUUAUUUUAUUUUUGUCCACUCACUCUAACAUUAUUAAAUGUUUUCCCCUGGGCCCUUUGUUUUAAAUUGCCCAGUCUGCAGAGUUCGGGUUGGAUCUAGUAGGAGACGAGGCAUAGUCACCCGCAUUUCUGCCAGUUUUCGCCAGUAGGUUACUUGUUCAACCUACUCGUGUUUUCUUGCUUCCGCUUGUGUUUAGUAGCUCUGAAUACUUUAGAAUUUUUGUAUAUUAUGCGAUGUUCAGAAGUGAUAAAUUAAGAGUGUAAUUUGAAAUUUUCGAGUUAGGGUUGUCCAUCUGCAAGGGAGAUUUUCUUAAUCUUUUCAGUAAAUUUUCCUUGGAGGUGGUCCCCGCACGACUUACUCUGGGUUUCAGGGUGAAAUUCGGGGUGGGUCGUGUCAUCUGAUCCAAUGGUCUGGAAUAAUUGCUUUAAAUCCUGAUUUAGACCUUCCCAGAAUUCUCUGGAAUGUCUUGUGCAGAAAUCCAUUGCAUGAGGCUUGACUAUGGACCAGGUACACUCCUUGUUCCAAAGGAAAUCCCUGUGAUUAAGAACUUUCCCUCUUCUGUUAUCAAUCAGGCUUUUUGACGAAAAUUCCCUUCCUUUAUUUGUGCGCAAUUAGGGUUCCUGGAAGGGAAAUAAAGUCAGAUAAAUAUGGUAGGGGAUAACAGAAUUCAAAUGACGAAAUUAAGGAAAGAAUCCCUUAAUUUCUGAUUUAUAUUAACACAUAAAUCCCUUGAUUACAGUAGAAUUCGUCCUCCUCCUUUUAUACACAUUCACAGACUCCUAUUCCAAGUUGGAUUAGGUUUCCUAACUUCAAAUAGAUUCCCUGUCUCAUAAGGAAUGAAAGUUUCCUCAAUAUUUUAGGAAAGUCAGAAUAGGAAAGAUUCAAAAGUAGUAAAGUUCCUAAAUCAAAAUAAGAAAGUUUCUUAAACUGAAAUAGGAAAGUUUCCAUUUUCAAAACAGGAAAGUUUCCUAAACGACUUAUCCUUUUUAAUUCGCCUGGUUUAGCUUCUUUUUUUCACUUUUCUGCUCUUUUACCUUUACAAUCACAAAACAUGUUUAAAAUGACAAUGUUAAAAGAAUAACAUAACUAAAUAAGGUAGAAAAUACGUUAAUAUCGUAGCACUUUGUGCUCCUAUCAUUUUCUCAAAGAUUGACUUGAGAUCUGGUUAUCAUCAGUUGCGGAUCCGGGAGAGUGACAUAGCCAAGCCUGCUUUUCGGUCACGAUAUGGUCAUUAUGAAUUUGUGGUGAUGUCGUUUGGACUUACUAAUGCACCUGUGGCGUUCAUGGAUCUCAUGAAUAGGGUGUUUAGUCCAUAUCUAGAUUGUUUCGUGAUCGUAUUCAUAGAUGACAUCUUGGUUUACUCAAGAAGUGAGAAGGAGCAUGCCAAGCAUCUAAGAAUAAUAUUGUGGACUUUGAGAAAUUCUCAGUUAUAUGCUAAGUUUAGCAAGUGUGAGUUUUUGCUAGAUAAAGUGAGGUUCUUGGGUCAUGUGGUUUCAACAGAAGGAGUUAGUGUGGAUCCCCAAAAGGUGAAAGCAGUGUCAAAUUGGAGAAGACCCACCACUGUGACGGAGAUUCGUAGUUUCUUGGGAUUAGCAGGUUAUUAUCGGCGCUUUGUGCAAGAUUUUUCAAAGAUUGCUGCUCCUCUUACAAGUUUGACCAAGAAGGGUGUUAAGUUUGAAUGGUUAGAACAAUGUGAGCAAAGUUUUCAAGAAUUGAAGAAUCGCUUGACUAGUGCUCCUGUUUUGGCACUUCCAGAUGAUAGUGGGGAGUAUGUGGUUUAUUGUGAUGCUUCUAGACGUGGUCUAGGUGGGGUAUUGAUGUAGCAUGAUCGAGUUAUUGCCUACGCUUCUAGGCAAUUGAAGCUGCAUUAUCCCACUCAUGAUCUAGAGCUUGAAGCGGUAGUUUUUGCUCUCAAGUUGUGGAGACAUUAUCUUUAUGGAGCCAAGUGUCAGAUUUUUACCGAUCACAAGAGUCUUUGGUAUGUGUUCACUCAAAGAGAGUUAAAUAUGAGACAGAGAAGGUGGAUGGAGUUGUUCAAUGAUUAUGAUUGCACUAUCGAAUAUCAUCCUGGAAAAGCUAAUGUGGUAGCUGAUGCUCUUAGUCGAAAUCCCUCCAUAUCUUUAUCUCAUAUAAAGAUUGUCACAUCCCGGUUCUUAAGUCAAUUUGCGGUUAUUUAGUUUUGGGUUACUUUGGCUUUUACCAUUUUGAGUAACCGUUUACUAUUUAAGGCUCCAAAAGUUGACUUUUUCUUUCGUCUAAAAUUUGGAAAAACUUUCUUCAUGAAAGUCGUAGAGGACGUUAAGCGGAGUUCGUAGAUGCGUGGCACGCUUAAAUAGGAGUUCGUAUGAAUAAGUUAUGGUCUAAAAACAAAAGUUACUAUUUUGGUUGGGGGUAUAAAAAUGGAAACUUACCGGAUGGGUUAGGUAAGAAAUCAGUUUCACCCCCUCACUCUCUCUUCUCUCUCCCGCACCUCUCCUCCGACCGGCAACUUCAUCACCUCCAUCCGCCGCCGUCCGGCCGAGCUAGGUGGUGUGCUUGGUAUCGAUUUGAAGCUUGGAGCAUCCUCUAGAAGUCGAGGUAGGUGGCAGCCGGUGUCGCGUCGCCGUGAAGGAGAAAUCCUGCCGGAAAGCCGCGGUUGUGCGUGGUGGGGUUUUCGUCGGAAAAUCCCUUUUCCGGCCACCAUAGCCAGAACUGUUGGUCUCAACUUGAAGCUCCCCCUCCUAGCAGCAAAACCCUAAAAGGAUUCAUCGUAACUCGAGCUAGGUAAGGAGAAUCGAAGGUUUGAAUCGUCUAGGGUUCUUGAUUGUGUUUUUGUUCGAUUGACAUAUUUAAGCUUGAAAUUGGACUUAGUGAUAGUUAUGAAAGUUGUUUGGGAUGUUGAGAGGAAGAUGUUGUUAAAAUUUGGUAGCCAUCGGGGGUCGCCGGAGUUGGCCGCCGGCCGCUGCUGCUGUAAGGGGGCUUUUCAGGGUUUUAAAUGUGUUAUGUUAAGGGGAGUUUAAUGAUGUGAAGUUUGGAAUUUGUGGAGGAGUUUUGAUAAGGUUUGGGAUUUUUAAAAGAUUAAAGAUUUUGCCGGUUAUUAGAAUAAAAAUCCGGCCGUUGGAUUUCCUUGGUAUUUUUUUUAUAGAAUGUUAGAAUUGAUGAAUUAAGGUUGUGGUGGAGUUUGGUGCGAAUCCGGCGAGUUUAACCCUAUUAAGAGUAGUUGGUUAAACGGAAGAGAGUUGGAUGUUUUUAUUCAUGUAUUUAUUUUCUGGAAUUGAAGUCUGGUUCUAAGCAUAAUUGUUGUGCCAGGAUGCGAAGGGAACCUCGCUUGAGUGGCGAUGCGGUUAUCGUCGGGCUUAUGCCUAAAGUUGUGAGUGGACAUUUUGGUUUAAUUAAAUAUGCAUGCAAGAUUUUAUAAAUUAUCAUUUUAUUUUUCCGAGCAUAUAUUAUAAUUUUCGGCUCAUGAGAUGAUUUUGAAAAUUAUUUGAGUGUGAUGCAUUGAUUAACGUUUGGUCAUGAUUUAUGCAUUUAAGCUCGGAUUAUUAAUUUGAUAUUUGAGUUUGGUUAUUUUAUAAGUUUUGGAUUUCAUUGUGAUUGAUUUAAUGGUGACUUUGGGAUUAAUAAAUGAUUACCGAAAAUGGGAUUUUCGGUAGUUCUCCAUCAUAAUUUAAUUGUUUAUUUGAGGCAUAAUGAUUUUGACUUAGAGAAUAUUUUAGCGAGUAUUUUCGAGUGGAGAUAUUGUUAUUUAUGAUUUAAAUUUGAUAUUGAAAUCUCGCUUAUAAUGUUGUUUCGAGAAUAUUUUGACGUGUGAGACACGUCAUUGAGUUUUAGUAUAAUUUCUUAUGAUGAUUUUCAAAUACGGUUAGGAACCAUACCAUUCAUUUGAUAUUGGGGAAGUUUAAUGGAUUUAAGUGACUUCGUAUGAUUUUAAUCACCAUAAUAUAGGGUCACUUUUAUAUUGAUUAUUGCUAGCUAACCUUAUUAGCGGUCCUCUUCAUAUGUGAGUAGAGCGCUCAGCGUGGGACGCUGUUAUAGCCUGGGAGGCAAGCGAUCGGUAUUUAUAUUUAUUAGCUAGCUAGCCUUAUUAACGGUCCUCAUCAUAUGUGAGUUGAGCACUUAGCGUGGGACGCUAUUGUAGCCUUAUUUAGUGGUCCUCAUCAUAUGUGAGUUGAGCGCUUAGCGUGGGACGCUAUUUUAGCGUGGGAGGCAUCGACCCGAGCCUGGGAGGCUCUUUUUUUUUCGUGGUGAUAACUCUUCCCCUUAUUUUAUUCUUCUCAAUAAUAUAAUUGAUUAACCAGCGGGGCUGGUUUAUCUUCACGUAUGAGAUUUAUGUUUUAAUUAACCAGCAGGGCUGGUUUAUCCUUUAUUAAAUGAUUUUGGAUUUAAAGUUUUAAGGAUGUUUAAGUUGCUUGCUGUUAAGUUUUAAAAGUUGAAAAGUGGGAAAGUAUAUAAGUUUUAUAAUUGUUAAGUUAUUGAAUUUAUUUUUCGUCUAUUCACUCUAACGUUUUUAAAUUACUUUCCCCUGGGCCCUUUGGUUUAUAAAUGCCCAGUUUACAGGCUAAGUUAAUUGAGGUCGAGCGUACAUGGAGUCGAGGCAUAGUCAGAGGCUGCUUCUGCUUAAUCUUUAUUUAUUGUUAUUCUUUCAUUACUAGAUAUGCUCUGAUAACCUAUUAGUGAAGAAAUGAUGUCUUUGUUGUUGGUUGUGGAAUUCCCGAAGUUUAGUAUUUAAUAUAUUGGGAGAUGUGUUAGACUUGGGGAGCAGGAAGGCUCCAGGAGUUGAGGAUGGAGGUUUGAUUAUAGAAGUGUUAAGUUUGAUUUUUUUCAGGAAAGGGUUGUCCAUUUUCAAGGAAGAUUAUGCCGAAUUUUCGGUAAAUUUUCCUUGAAGGUGGUCCCCGUAGGAUUUACUUCGGAUUUCAGGGUGAAAUUCGGGGUGGGUCUUGACAAAGAUGGUUCGAGUUCCACUUCUUUUUGAGUUGCGAGCUUCAGGGGUAGAUUUAUCGGUGGAUGAAGUUGGUGCUUUGGUAGCUAGUUUUCAUGUGAGGACAGUUUUGGUCGAUAGAGUGCGGGAGGCACAAUAUAAUGACCCUUCCAUUUUUCGGUUGAUAGAAAGAACUUUGAAUUGAACCACAGUUGAUUUUUUAGUUAGAAGAGGUGAAACUUUAUUGUUCAAGAAUAGGCUUUGUGUUCCGCAGAGAAAUGAAGAGUUAAAGAAGGAGAUAAUGGAGGAAGCUCAUAGUUCGGCAUAUGCUGCCCAUUUGGGUAGUACAAAAAUGUAUCGGACUUUGAAGGAUUAUUAUUGGUGGCUGAAUAUGAAGAGGGAAAUUGCAGCUUUUGUGAGUAGAUGUUUAGUCUAUCAGCAAGUGAAAGCUGAAAGGCAGAAACCUUCAAGGUUGCUUGAGUCGUUGUCUAUUCCAGUGUGGAAGUGGGACCACAACACCAUGGAUUUUGUUUUCAGUUUACCUCGUUCCCAUGAAGGGCAUGACGGUAUUUAGGUGAUUGUGGAUAGACUCACCAAGUCUACACAUUUCUUGCCAGUGGAAAAGAAGUAUAAAUUGGAUAAAUUGGCGGAACUUUAUGUGAAUGAAAUUGUGAGGCUUCAUGAUGUACUUGAGUCAAUAGUGUCAGAUCGAGAUCCUAGAUUUGCUUCUAAUUUCUAGGGAGCUAUUCAAGUAGCUUUGGACACCUAAUUGCACUUCAGCACUGCCUUUCAUCCUCAGACCGAUGGGCAAUCGGAGAGGACUAUUCAGAGUCUAGAGGAUAUGUUGAGAGCUUGUGCCUUGCAGUUCAGAGGGAGUUAGGAUAAAAACCUAUUUGUGAUGGAAUUUGCAUACAAUAAUAGCUAUCAUUCUAGUAUUGGUAUGGCUCCCUUUGAGGCACUUUAUGGGAAGCAGUGUCGUACACCUUUGUGUUGGAAUGAAGUCGGAGAAAAAGAGCUUUGUGGUCUUGAGUUGAUUCAUGAUACGAAUGAGAAGAUUAAAGUGGUCAGAGAUAGACUCAAGGCCGCUCAAAGUAGGCAGAAGAGUUAUGCAGAUGUCCGUAGGAAGGACCUUGAGUUUCAAGUGGGUGACUGGGUGUUCUUGAAAUUAUCUCUUUAGAAAGGAGUAGUACGUUUUGGUAAACGUGGGAAGCUUAGUCCGAGGUAUAUUGGCCCUUAUGAGAUAAUAGAGCGAGUUGGCUCACUUGCUUACUAGUUACUUUUGCCUCCAAAGUUAUCCAGGAUAUAUAAUGUGUUUCAUGUAUCCAUGCUUCGCAAGUAUAUUGCCGAUCCCACUCAUCUGUUGCAAGAGCGGGCGAUUAGUUUGCAUAAAGAUUUGACUUAUGAAGAGGAAUCGGUUCAGAUUCUUGACCGAAAGGAGCAAAUGCUUAGGAACAAGACAAUUCCACUUGUUAAGGUACUAUGGAGAAGGCAUCAAUUAGAAGAAGCUACUUGGAAAUCGGAGGAGCAAAUGAGACAACAGUAUCCCUAUCUCUUUGAUUGACAUGUAUGUAAAUUUCAAGGUCUAAAUUUUUAUAAGGAGGGGAGAAUUGUCACAUCCCGACCCUUAAAUUUUUACCUUAUUUACUAGCUUGGUAUUAACAAGAGUUUUACCGUCUUCGUCGUGAGUUUAUAGUUAAAUGGUCCCUAGAUGAGUUUUGGGGGACGAUUGUUUUCGGUGGAAUUAUUCGUAGGAGAAAAAUGUGACGACUGUAAAAAUGGUAAAUUUUAGCUAGUAAAAGGUAAUUUUUAUUAGGGUCUUUUUAUUGGGGUGUUUUAUGUUAUGGAGUGUGGGUAUUAAGGAGGGGACCGGGCCAUUUUUGGGGUUUAGGGUUUAGGGUUUAGGGUUUAGGGUUUAUUCCAAAUUUCACUCUUAAUUCCAAAUUUCACUCUUAAUUCAACACUUCCAAACAUCACAUAAUAUACAAUAAUCCUAAAGUAUUCAGAGCUACUAAACACAAACGGAAGCAAGAAAACACGAGUAGGUUGAACAGGUAACCUACUGAUAAAAACUGACAGAAAUGCGGGUGACUAUGCCUCGCCUCCUACUAGAUCCAACCCGAACUCUGCAGACUGGGCAAUUUAAAACGAAAGGCCCAGGGGAAAACAUUUAAUAACGUUAGAGUGAGUGGACAAAAAUAAAAUAAAGGAAAUAAUUCUUUAUGCUUUCCCAAUUUUUACUUUUCCAUAGAAAAGAAAAUAUGCUGCAUGCGACAGCUCAAAACGCUCAACACGAAAACUGGAAUUUCAUGACCGGCACCGGCCAGUCUCCAACGCUCAAUAAAAUACAGCCUCUCAGGCUAAAAUAAAAUAUGUAUGUAUUACACUCGUCAUAUCCCUUGUAUGAAUUUUCUUGAAACAACUAAAACAAAUAGCAAAUUCACACAAGGCUACAACGCUUGCGUCUAACGCUCACGUUGCANNNNNNNNNNNNNNNNNNNNNNNNNNNNNNNNNNNNNNNNNNNNNNNNNNNNNNNNNNNNNNNNNNNNNNNNNNNNNNNNNNNNNNNNNNNNNNNNNNNNNNNNNNNNNNNNNNNNNNNNNNNNNNNNNNNNNNNNNNNNNNNNNNNNNNNNNNNNNNNNNNNNNNNNNNNNNNNNNNNNNNNNNNNNNNNNNNNNNNNNNNNNNNNNNNNNNNNNNNNNNNNNNNNNNNNNNNNNNNNNNNNNNNNNNNNNNNNNNNNNNNNNNNNNNNNNNNNNNNNNNNNNNNNNNNNNNNNNNNNNNNNNNNNNNNNNNNNNNNNNNNNNNNNNNNNNNNNNNNNNNNNNNNNNNNNNNNNNNNNNNNNNNNNNNNNNNNNNNNNNNNNNNNNNNNNNNNNNNNCACAAACACCAAUUCCAAGCCUAACUAGGGCAAUCGACUAAAACAUCAAAAACACCAUAAAACUUCCACCUCAAAUUUCUCCUUACCUAGCUCAAGAGGGAGUGAGUCCUUUUAGGGCAAGGUUGCUGGGUUGGAGGGCUACAAAAUCAUACCAAGCUUGCCCAGAUUGGUGGCCGGAGGAGGGAGUUCCGGCGAAAAGCUUUCCGGCGUUUCCGGCGGGUUUUCUCCUCUUCCGGCGGGUUAGAGGCUCGGGGGCUAGGCCGGGGAGGGAGAGGAGGAGAUGGGGGUACGAACUGCGGUGGAAGGGCGGCCGGUGGCUGGCCGGACGGCGGCAGCUGGCGGCUGGACAGUCCGGCAGUGGGAGGAAGAAAAUUCGGAGGGAAGGAGAAAACGGGAGAGAGGGAGAAGAGAAAAAGAGGGAGAUGGGUUUGGGCCUCUCCAAACCGGUCCAAUCCACUUAUAACCCAAUCUUCCAAAAUAAAAACACCCCGAAAAAAUAAUACCCAAAUAAAAAUUACCUUUUACUAGCUAAAAUUUACCAUUUUUACCGUCAUCGUAUUUUCCUUAUACGAAUAAUCCUCCGCACAUAAUCGUCCCCGAAACCCCUCUAGGGACCAAUUAAACUAUUUACUCAAUGAUCGAGACGGUAAAAUUCUUAAUAUAAUCACGCUAGUAAAUAAGGUAAAAAUAUAAGGGUCGGGAUGUGACGCAUUUGAGGUCGCCGGAGCCGGCCUCCGGCCGCCGCUGUUUAGGGGUUUUCAUGGUUUUAAAUUGGUUAUAUUAAGGGGAGUUAUUGAUGUGAAUUUUGGAAUUUUUUAGAGGAGUUUUGGAUAGAUUUGGGAAUUUUUAAAGUUUAGUAAUUUUGGCAGAUUAAUAGGGUGGGAUCCGGUCAUUGGACUAAUGUUGUUUAGGCUGUGUUAAGGCUGCCAUUAUUUUUCGAUAAAGUUUGGAUCAUAUUGAGUUAAGAAUGGCGAAGUUGGGCAAAGAUGAGUGUGGUUAAGGCUCACAUUGAAUUUUGCCUAUUUUGUGUAAAUAUUGGAUUUUUUAUUUGGGAAAUUAAUUAUAUAUUUGGAACAAGACGUGAAAAGGCUCGAGUGGAAGAGGCCUUAGAUCGACAUCAGGCUUAAGCCUAAUUUGUGAGUGGACUUUUGUUUUAAAUAUUAUGCAUGCUAUGGUUCAUGGUUGAUUAAUUUCUUUUGUUGGAGCAUUUGACUUCAUUUUAUUUUGACGAUUUUAUUUCUUUUAAAGAGUUACCGAAAAUAGGAUUUUCGGUGAAUAUUAUUAUAUAUUUAUGAGGAGAGUAUGUAUAUAAAUACUAGCUAGCCAUAUGUGUCUGUCCACCUUAAUGGCGUAGUAUAUAACCGCAUUAUGGUGUAGCGUGAGCGUUAGACGUGAGAGUAGUAGCCUUAUAUGAGUGUCUAAUACAUAUUGGGGGUAUGGGCACAUAUUUAUAUACCCGUUCGUCCACCUUAAUGGCGUAGCGUAGCACCGCAUUAAGGCGUGACGUGAGCGUUAGACGCAAGCAUAGUAGCCUUGUAUGAAUUUCUAUUUUUCUUAUAUUUCCUGCAUAGAAUUCAUACAAGGAGUAUGGACUUGUAUAGAUACAUACAUAUAUAUUGAUGGAUUUAUAUUAUUGAGUAUGAGAGGCUCGAUAUUUAAGAGAUGAAAGUUUUAUCAUUUGAGGCAUGCAUUCAAUUUUCUUUGGAAAUUAAAUUGGGAAAGCAUAAAAUAUUUAUAUUAAAUUUAUUUUUGUCCACUCACUCUAACUGUUUCAAAUGUUUUCCCCUGGGCCCUUCGUUUUAAAAUGCCCAAUCUGUAGAGUACGAGUUGGUUCUAGUAGGAGACGAGGCAUACUCACCCAUUUCUCCACCACCUUUUAUCAGUAGGUUACCUGUUAACCUACUAGCAUAUUUUUCUUGCUUCCUCUAGUUUAGCAGCUCUGAAUACCUUGAGGAUAAUGUAUAUUAGAUCGGUUGUGUGCUAAGUCUUAGAUUUAAAUUUGGAUAUUUAUAUGAUGGAUUAAAAGAUGGUUUUAUUAUAUUGUGGUGGUUGUUUUGUGGGGAGCGAGUGGCUCCAGGAGUUGAGGAUGGUGUUAUGUUGUUAUAGGAGUGCUAUCUUUGAAUUUUUCAGGUUAGGGUUGUCCAUUUUCAAAAGGUUUUGCCAAAUUUUUCGGUAAAUUUUCCUUGGAGGUGGACCCUGCAAGACUUACUUUGGGUUUCAAGGUGAAAUUCGGGGUGGGUCUUGACAUGUGAUAACUGAGGUUUCAACCGAUUUCACCCUGAACUUUAAUACUUGAAGUUUCAACCGAUUUUGGCCGGAAACUGCCCCAAAACUUCCACCACGAAAACAACCUUAAAUCUGCAAAUCCGGGCUCAACAACUCAAAAACAUGCUUCAAUCUAUGCCUAGCCACUACUAGAAGGAGGAGAGGAACCAGACUCACCUAAGUUAGCCCCUCGUCGCCGUCGAAAUCACCGGUUUUCCAGCGAGACAGCAGCUGCUCCACCACUCUGUGGCGGCUUCUAGGCUGCGAGACAGUGAGCGGGACUAUCCCAGAACUGGAGAGGACGUCCGUGUGCACCCAACGGAACCGGUGGCAUCCAAUAUGGUGGCCGGAUGGAGGAGAAAUCAACCAGAGAAGAAUGAGAGCGUGGGAGGGUCGGGAGAGAGGAGAGAGAAACCAAAACUGGGCUGCUGCAAAUAUAGGGUUUCCAAAAAAUAACUCCCACACAUUUUUCUACUUAUACUCUUUCCAAAACCGGAACCUAACUUCCUUUGACCAUAACUUUCUCAUACGACAUCCGAUUUACAUGUGCUGCGUGUCUACGAACUCGUAUUGCCAAACUCUACAACUUUCAUGAAGGAAGUUUUAGCAAAUAACUUACGGAAAAUAAAGUCAACUUUUGGCCACUUAAAACAAACACCUUAAAAUAAACUCCCGAAACUUCAACUUCGUAUAAACCAACAAUAAUUUCCAUAAAUAAUCCUUCACUAAAUCCGGAAAUAAUACAAGAAAAUUGAUAUGAAAAUCUAGGGUAUUACAACGAGUAUCUCUGUGUACAAACCGAGUUCGUUCAAACUUACAUGCAGACUAGUCUUUAGGUUAUAGUACCUAUUCCACGAAUAAGAAGAGAUGAGUUGUUCACUAUUUACGACGACAAUUCACGUUGCUAUUACCGCAACACAUAUGUCUGCAAUUAUCACCUUCACCUUAACAAUACCAGUUUAUCGAACGGAGGAAAAUCAAAAUAGUGAGUCUCACGCGAGUCAACGAAAUCCAAGGAUCACCAUUGGAAAUUCACUAUUUGAUGACUUGCUUCUCACGAAUUAUCAUGUAUUAUAGCGACUACGUAUCAACUCAAGUCGAUGAUUAAGAAUUUUUUAAGUAACAGCCCCACCGUUACGCAAUACGUUAAGAAAAAUGGUCGUUGGGAUAUACUUCUUCCGCAUAAUUAUGCGUUGCUAAAGAUGUCAAAGAUCACGAAAACCUACUCGCAUUUCCUGAGUAGAGAUUUGCCCAUGAAUUUCUCGUUAUUGUUAACGAAUGUCGAAGUCCCAUUAAUAAAUCGUACCGACUAAUAGCUGCCAAAGCAUGGAAAUUCCCCCAUCAACUCUAAAGUCGAACCGUCUAAGUUACCAAUCGAAUAACCGUACUACAACCAAAAUACAAACUCUGAGUUGACCGAAUUGAGUGUCAACACAACUGAUGUCACAUCCCGACCCUUAUAUUUUUACCUUAUUUACUAGCGUGAUUAUAAUAAGUAUUUUACCGUCUCGAUCAUUGAGUAAAUAGUUUAAUUGGUCCCUAGAGGGGUUUCGGGGACGAUUAUGUGUGGAGGAUUAUUCGUAUGAGGAAAAUACGACGACGGUAAAAAUGGUAAAUUUUAGCUAGUAAAAGGUAAUUUUAAUUCGGGUAUUAUUUUUCGGGGUGUUUUAUUUUGGAGUGGGUUGAUAUAUGAAUUGGACCGGUUGGGAGGCCCAACCCAUUUUCUCUCUUUCUCUUCUUCUCUCUUUUCCCUUCCUCCUCUCUCCCGUGCUCUUCCCCCUGCCGGAUCGUCCAGCCGCCGUCUGCCGCCGUCCGACCAGCCACCGGCCGCCGCUCCACCCCAGUUCGGACCCCCAUCUCCUCCUCUCCCUCCCCGGCCUAGCCCCCGAGCUUCUAACCCGCCGGAAGAGGAGAAAACCCGCCGGAAACGCCGGGAAGCAUUUUGCCGGAACUCUCUCCUCCGGCCACCAAUCCGGGCAAGCUUGGUACGGUUUUGUAGCCCUCCAACCCAGCAGCCUUGCCCUAAAAGGACUCACUCCCUCUUGAGCUAGGUAAGGAGAAAUUUGAGGUGGAAGUUUUAUGGUGUUUUUGAUGUUUUUAGUCGAUUGCCCUAGUUAGGCUUGGAAUUGGUGUUUGUGCUAGCUAUGAAAGUUGUAGAGCAUGAUGAGAGGAAGAUGCUGUUAAAAUUUCAUAGGUUUUGGAGGUCGCCGGAAUUGGCCUCCGGCCGCCGCUGCCGGCGGAGCCGCCGCCGGUUGGGAGAUUUUAAUGUUGUUAAAUUUGGAAUAUUAAGGGGAGUUUAUUGAAGUGAGUUAUGGAAUUUUUGGAUGAGUUUUGGAUAGGUUUAAGAAUUUCCGAAGUUUGGUUUUUUUGGCGGUUAAUUAAUGUAGAAUCCGGCCGUAGGAUUUAAGUCGUAUUUUGGAGAGGUUAUAUUUACGACUGCCGAGGAUGAUAUUUAAGUUCGGAUCGUUCCGAUUUAAGAAUAUCGAAGUUAGGCAAUAAUGAGCGUGUUUAUGGCUCUCGGGAAAUUUUGCCUAUUUUGAUUAAUUAUUGGAUUAUUAGUUGGGUAAAGUUAAAUAUUAUUUCUUGGAACAGGUCGUGNGGAGGCUCGAGCUGACGAGGCCCCACGAUCGACAUCAGGCUUAGGCCUAAUUAAGUGAGUGGACUUUUGUUUUAAAUUAAUGUGCGUGCGAAUAAUUUAAUAGUUGUUAGAGAAUAACCGAAAUUUUAGUGAAUUUCGGUUGAGUGUAUAUAUAUAUAUCCAUAUGUGGAUGAUUAUGAGAAUAAUAUGUAUAUGAGAGAAUGCUAGCUAGCUAUACGUGCUUUUCCACCAUACUGAAGUAAAAUUCUAUUAUGGUGCAACGUGAGCGUUAGACACAAUCGUUGUAGCCCUAUAUAAAAAUAAUAAUUUAUAUAGGGGAUAUGCGCGUAUAUUUAUACACCGUCUUUUCCACCAUAAUGAGGUAAAAUGCCAUUAUGGUGCAACGUGAGCGUUAGACGCAAGCGUUGUAGUCUUGUGUGAAUUUUCUAUUUGUUUCAGUUGUUUCAAGAAAAUUCAUACAAGGGAUAUGACGAGUGUAAUACAUACAUAUUUUAUUUUAGCCUGAGAGGCUGUAUUUUAUUGAGCGUUGGAGACUGGCCGGAGCCAGUCAUGAAAUUCCAGUUUUCGUGUUGAGCGUUUUGAGCUGUCGCAUGCAGCAUAUUUUCUUUUCUAUGGAAAAGUAAAAAUUGGGAAAGCAUAAAGAAUUAUUUCCUUUAUUUUAUUUUUGUCCACUCACUCUAACGUUAUUAAAUGGUUUCCCCUGGGCCUUUCGUUUUAAAUUGCCCAGUCUGCAGAGUUCGGGUUGGAUCUAGUAGGAGGCGAGGCAUAGUCACCCGCAUUUCUGCCAGUUUUCAUCAGUAGCUUACCUGUUCAACCUACUCGUGUUUUCUUGCUUCCGCUUGUGUUUAGUAGCUCUGAAUACUUUGGGAUUAUUGUAUAUUAUGUGUAGAAUUUCUGAAGGAUAAUUAUGUGAUGUUUGGAAGUGUUGAAUUAAGAGUAGAAUUUGGAAUUUUCGAGUUAGGGUUGUCCAUCUGCAAGGGAGAUUUUCUCAAUCUUUUCAGUAAAUUUUCCUUGGAGGUGGUCCCCGCACGACUUACUCCGGGUUUCAGGGUGAAAUUCGGGGUGGGUCGUGUCAACUGAUGUGUAGUCUAUCAAACAACACUAGGUAGUCCUCUCUUGCUACCCCCAUAUGAUGUAAAGUGAUUUUCUUUCUUCCAUUUUAUUUCUAGAUCAAACUAGCUGGAUCACGUAGGUCCAUAAUGUCCAAGGAAGAUGAAAGCACAAAACUGGAGUCAAAUGCUCAAGUCGCCAAAACUGCUAGAUGCCAAAGAUAAAUACUCCUCGUAGAAUGACGAAUUGUAUGAAUGCGUACAAAAAUCUAGAACUCCUUUCUCAAUAAGAUAUGAUGAUCAGCAAUCCUGAGUCGAAUCGCACCCUGUAAGGCCCGACUCUUCAACUCAUGUCUAAAAUUUACUUAUAUCAAGAACAGUCGGUCUUAGAACACCCCAGGACAUCGACAAUACUCAUCGAUUGCCACGCUGCUCCAGUAGUUACCUCAAAGAAUUUGGGGUCUAAAAACGAGCUCUAUAAACAAAUCACACACUCUACACAUAAGUGAGAUGCCCGGAUCUCUUCAAAACCUGAGCUAAACGCUAAAUUGAUGGCCACAUGAUCCAUCUCAAAAAUUGUGCGUCAACCGCAUUAUCGCCUGCGUAAUGCUCAAGUGGAAGCAUGGGAUUGCUCGAAUCUAAUAGAGCCUCGACAAUAACUUCCAAUCCCAACCAGUCAAUUUCACCACUGCAAUACUCUAAUCAGCAGCUACAUUUGUGGGAAAGACUACCUCAAAAUCCACAUCUCACUCAUCCUCUUAGGAAUUAUUCGUAUCAGCUAAUAACAAUUAUAGCUAAAGCGAAAAAACAAUUAUUUCAAGAUCAAUAACCCCAAUUAGGCCGCUUAAACUAUCCUUGUGUAUCAUCAUACACAUUACCAAUCCAAAUUUAUCCGACACUCUUCUCCUAACAAUCACUCGACUCGAUACCACGAUUUUCUAACCAACCACCACUUCGAAUUUACAACUUCAACCUUUCUUGCACCAAUGACUAAAGAUAUCAAAGAUUGAGAUUAUCUUUAGAUGAUAGGGGUUCGUUAGUAAUCUUCUACCAUAGUAAAUUCUCAGGCAACAGUUAGAAUACCCAAUGACAUCAUGUAUUAAAUUCUACAUCUGUUGCCGUAAAAUCAAAGCAGCCACAACCAUCAGGCAUCCGACUUACCAUUGCAUUUCAAAGCCUCUUACACUUACAGUCCAUCUAAAAACACUCAACAUAGGUAAGAAGGCCAAUCCCACAUUACAGAUACCAACCCUAAAUAUACCAAUAACAAUUUCAGAAACCAAAUCUCAAUGGAUAAACUUCGAAAGAAAUGCAUAAUAGCCCCACAUAACACAUCAAUUAAUCUCCACAAUUUAUUCGCUCAAGCAAUGGCUUUCCACAUUUUAUCUCAAAGCAAGACAACUUAAUUCCCUAUGAUAUCUCUUAUCCUAAUACCAAUCUUAUCUAGAAAUUUCUCGAUCAUUCUCCAUCAUUAAUACACACAUAAGAGCUCAACUUACAUCUUAAUCAUAGUCCAACAACUCAUUACGUAAAAGUAAAGGAACAUCAUAAAUACAUGCCACUUCCCAACUCAUAAUUGAUCUCAGAAUCUCGCAACCAUAAUAAAGCAUAAAGGAAAGGUGCACAUCACUUACCUUUCCAUUACUCAGAAAAUAACCAAGAUACCCUUUGAGGUCGGCGUACAGAGGCAUAGUCUUGAAGAUGUAGACAUUUAUGGCACAAUACUGUCCAUAAAUAAGAUAAGAACAACUACCUCAUAUACCUAAUAAACACCUAGCAUCUUAUGCAUAUAAUGCUAAUGGAUCCGCCGCGGUCGGACCAUCACUCUAUAGACACUAAGUAUCCCCAAGUAUAUGAGGUAGUGAUAGGAAUCGAAUAACCUAAUGUUCUGAUACCAACUGACAGGACCCACCCCGAAUUUCACCCUGAAACCCGAGGUAAAUCCUGCGGGGUCCACUUCCAAGGAAAAUUUACCGAAAAUUCGGCAUAAUCUACCUUGAAAGUGAACAACCCUUACCUGAAAAAUCCAACUUACACUUCAAAAAACAAACAAACCAGCCUCAACACCUGGAGCCUUCCUGCUCCUCAAGUUCAACAUAUCUCCCAAAAAUACAACAAGCCUUAAUCAACUAAUAACUAUCUCAAAUGCUUAUCAGAGCAUAUCUAUAAUGAAAGAAAAACAAUGAAUAAAGAAUAAGCAGAAGCAGCCUCUGACUAUGCCUCGACUCCAUGUACACUCGACCUCACUUAGACUUAGGCUGCAAACUGGGCAUUUAAAACCAAAGGGCCCAGGGGAAAGUAAGGUAAAACGUUAGAGUGAGUGGACGAGAAAUAAUCAAGUAACUGAUCGCAACAUAACUAACCAAACUUAAUUACUUUCCCAUUUCCGAUAAUAAAGAAAUCUAUUGCAUGCAAGUGUUGAUAAAACUUUCAUAAAGAAAAAAUACCCAGAAAACGGACUAGCCCCGCUAGUCAAAUUAACGACAAAAAUAAAUAAUAACCUUACGUAAAAGAAAGUACCAAAAUAACGGACUAGCCCCGCUAGUCAAAAACAACAUUAUUGGUACAUAAAGACCUUUGUAAAAUAAAAUAUCGAAAAGAUGGACUAGCCCCGCUAGUCAAGACAAAAAAUAUUAAAUAAGAAGCAGCUAUAGCCAUACAAGUGAGCCUCCCAGGCUCGGGUGCCUCCUAGGCAAAAGUACUCCCAUACUCCCUACACUUUCACAUUAAAUAACGGAGAGAGUGCAGGGCUUGCGUGAUGUCGUCGACUACAUCACAUCACCCGAAGGCGAAAAGGGCUUGAGUAACCCCACUUAAAACGUGGAAGUCACAUCGCCUCGAAAGGCUGAACAACAUGCUAGCAUUAGUAAUAUAUUAUCCGACAAGUAUGGCAUAAAUAAAGAAACAUAAAUCCAUGUGAGUUUCCCCGAAACUCAUAACUAAAGGAUAAGUACAAUUCCCAACCGUACUCAAAGAAUUCAAAGAGCAAAGAAAUUCAUUAAAUUCAACAACAUAUCUCACACGUUAAAAUGCUCAAAGAAAUACUUGACUUAAAUAAUUAUCAUCUUUCGAAAACCGGGCAAUAUGCAAAUUUGGAUAUAAUCUCAAAUCCAGAAACCAUAAAGAAUAUUAAAAGUCAAAUACCAAAUCUCUAAGCUAAGCUCAAAUCUAUAAGUUCAUUAUCGAAAACAUAACCAAUAUGUCAAUCUCAAAUAAAUUCCAUAACCAAUAUGCCAAUCUCAAAUAAAUUCCAUAAAUCAUGGCAAAGGUUAAUCAAUGCAUCAAAAUCAAAUAAAUUCAAUGACCAUUUCAUAAGCUGCAAUUACAAUUUAAGCUUGGAAAAUAUAAUAGGCAACUUAUAAAAUCAUGCAUGCAUAUUAAUUAAACCAAAAUGUCCACUAACAGAUUUAGGCCUAAGCCUAACGAAUUCCGAAUCGCCACUCAAGUGAGGUCUCUUCGAAUCCUGGCACAACAACCAUGUUAAGGAUCAAACUUCAAUUCCGGAAAAUAAAUACUUAAAUUUAAACACCCAAAACUCUUCCGCUUAACCCACUACCCUUACUAGGGUUAAGUUUACCGGAUUCACAUCAAACUCCACCACAACCUUAAUUCAUCAAUUCUAACAUUCUAGAAUAUAUACCAAGGAAAUCCAACGGCCGGAUUUUCAUUCUAACAACCGCCAAAAUUCUCCAUCUUGAAAAAAUCUCAAACCUAACCAAAACUCCUCCAACAAUUCCAAACUUCACAUCAUUAAACUCCUCUCAUUAAAACAAUCUCAAAAACAUGAAAAACUGUCCUUAAGGGGCGGCGGCCGGCAGCCAUACUCCGGCGACCUCCAAUGUUUCCCAAAUUUUAACACAACACUCCUCUCAACCUGCACAACAACUUCCUUAACUAGCACAAAAUCCAUUUCUAAACCUAACUAGGUUAAUCGAACCAAAACCUUAAAUUGAGCCCUAGGACUUCAAUUAUACAUUUCUCCCUAUUAAGAUCGAAUUUAGCCAAUUCCUUUUGAGGGAUUACUAACCUUUGAUGAGAGCUACAAGAUGAGCCAAAAAUCACGAGUUAUGGUGGCCGGAGGAGGGAGCUCCAGCAAGAAGACAGUCGGCGUCUCCGGCGGGAUUUCCCUCAAUCGGCGGCGUCACAGACUUGGUCACCGGCCUAGGAAGAGAGAGGAGGUGGCGGGGGUCCGAACUGGGCUAGAGCGGCGAUCGGUUGCUAGCCGGACGUCAGCAGAUGGGAGAGAGAAGAGAAAAGGUUGGGCUUUUUUUUUCCAACCAGUCCACUCACUUAAACCCCAAAAAUAAAGCCUACCAAGAAUUUACCCCCUUUUACCAACUCAAAUAAUUUACCCUUUAAUUUGAUAACUUUUUUAUGCUAACUCCGAUUUUAACGUAUAGCAUGUCUACGAACUCAUAUUAACGUCCUCUACAACUUCCUUAAAGAAAUUUUCACAAAAUAGCUUUCCUACAAAAAGUCAACUGUAGAGUCCUUAACGGUAAACGGUUACUCAAAGCGGUAAAAGUCAAAGUGAUACCAAAAGUAAAUAACCGUAAUUUAAUUUAAGAAUCGAGACGUGACAUAGAGGUCUUCCUAAAAGCUAUCAGGGUAAAAUCAUUAGCAUAGAGGAUGCCUAUGAUUUGGAUACCAUGGCACUAGAUGAUCUAUUAGGCAAUCUAAACGCUUUUGAACAAAGAUGGAUUACACCUGAAAGAAAACACAAAGGGGUUGCUUUUAAAGUAACCAAGAAAGAAAAAUCUGAUGAAGAUUCUGAAGAUUUAGAUUUGGCUCUAAUCACUAAGCAGUUCAAGCAAUUCAUGAAAAAUAAGAAUUCAGCUGGUAGAGCUACCAAAAACUCUUUUGACUCAAAACGAAACUUUAGGUCUAAAGGCAGUUCUAAUAAUAAGAACAAAUUCAAACAAGGGAAUAAAAACAUGACAGGACCUACUUGUUAUGAAUGUGGUGGUGUUGGCCAUUUGGCACAUGAAUGUGGUAACAGGAAACAUGAGACAUCAAACAACAAAUCAAUGUUGUUCACCUAGAGCGAUGAGGAAGAUUAAAAUACAGCAUUUGUAUGCUCUAUCAGAAACCUGUCAGACUCAGAAAGUGAUGAAGAAAAUUUUGUGGAUGAAAUAAAUUUUUAAUGUGCUCAAAUGUACAAAGCCUCAAAAGUGAUGGUAAAGAGAAAUGAAUUCCUUGAAGAAGAGCUGAACAGGUUGAAAACCAAAAAGGGAAGACUUGAAGAAAAACACAACAUGACUCAGAAUAAUUGGGAAGAAGAGAAGAAAAAACUAGUUAAAGACCUAGAAGAAUUUCAACAACAUGGAGAUGAGGAAUCUUGGAUAAAUGACAAGAUCUCUCUCACAGCUAAGGUAUCUGAUCUUCAAACCACUAAUUUAUGUCUAACUAAUGAAAUUGAAGUUUUGCAGGGUGAACUAAAAAGGGCAAUAGAAAAGUUUGAUCAGUUCAAGUUAAGCUCGGAAAAGACUUCUAACAUACUCUCAUAUGGCAAGAAGUUCAAUGACCGAUCAGGAUUGGGAUAUGCUGGUAAGAAAACCACAAUCACGAAGUUUUGUGAAGAGCAGUCAGUCUGAAGAUGACAUAGUCGUGACUGAGGAAGUCAAUGCUUCUCAGAAGGAAAUAAAGGUAACAACAAAUACACCUCAGGUAAAAUCUGUAGAUUGUCCAAAUGUCAAGAAAUUUGUGCCUUGUUGUCAUUAUUAUGGUCAGUUUGGACAUAUCAGACCAAACUGCAGAAAUAGAAUUUUUGAAAUUCAAACUGAAAACUUGAAAUGCACUCUAGAAUCUCUACAAAGGGAUAUGAAGGUUCAAAUGCAAUUAAUACAUGACAUCUCAAAACUCUUAGAUGAUAAAAGAAAUAUGUCUGGAAAUAAAAAAUCAAUUUGGAGAAAGAAACACUAUGUUGAACAAAAUGAUCAGUCAGCAACUUGUCUAGUAACUUUUACUGCACUUGCUCAAAAAUGUCGAGAUACUUGGUAUUAUGACAGUGGUUGUUCUAGACAUAUGACAGGAAACAAAAAUUGGUUCAUUUCUUUCAAUGAUGAGGUCACAACUGGAAAGGUAAGUUUUGGUAAUGGUAAGAAAGCAAAAAUCUUAGCAAGAGGAAGUGUAUGUGCACCAGGUAUACCUGAACUGAAAAAUGUUCUUUAUGUUGAUGACUUGACUACAAACCUCAUUAGUGUAAGUCAAUUAACAGAUGAUUAUGAAGAUGUCUAGUUUACUAAACACUGUUGUUUAGUGUUUGAUAAUGUAGGAUCAAAAGUAAUGCAAGGAAAAAGGGCAGUAGACAACUGCUAUCACACCUCUGACAUUGCAUCAAACAGUUCAUGUCUUUCAGUAAAAUCAUCAAACAGUUUAACUUCCAGGAUCUUCAACGAAUUUCAAAUAUCAAGUGUAUUAAAGGACUUCCAAAUUUGACUGGAAAAACGGACAAGAUGUGUGGUGAAUGCAAAAUUGGAAAACAAACCAAAGUUCCACACAAAGCUAUAAAUGCAACCUCAACUAAGCAGGUGCAUCAACAAUUGGAAUUGAAUAGGAAUGCCAUAGGGGGAGAUUGUAAGUAUAUGGCAGUCUAUUCAAUUCAAAGAAGGAAAGGAUGUCUGCAAAAAAACCAGGAAGUAGAGGUUUCCUGGUCCAGCAAGGAGAAGCAAGGGUUUCGAAGAGAAGUCUACUGAUUUAGCUCGACUUCACUGAUUUCAGAUCAUCUAAGGUAAUUACAUCUCAUGCAUAUUCAUAUCAUGAUUCUGGUAUUGUGCUUAAAGAAAAGAUUCAGUCCUUAUAUGGUUUUAGAUUGAUUAAAAUAUAUGUGAGAUAGUUUUAGGAAAUUGAUACGGGUGUAUCCAAGCCUUUUAGGGAUUAGCCGAUUCCUUCUCCAAGUUAGUUAAGGAAAUAGUUUUUCUAGCUUGUUAGGGGAAUAGUUUUCCAACUUAGUUUGGGAUUAGUUGUCUAACUUAGUUAGGGAGUACUCUCCAAGUUAGAUAAGGAUUUAUAGAGAUUUAGACUCUAUAAAUAGAUGUGUCUAGCUUAGUUUUAGGGAGAGUGAAACAGAGAUAACAUCUAUUUAGACGAGAGUGAAACAGAGAGAUAGACCUGUUUAGAGUUAUUGUGAGGGAAGGAUUUAGACAAUAAACAUUGUACCUUUGCACAAUAAAAAGAGAAGAUAUAUUUCUUCGAACCUACAUUCCUUAUGUGUUUCAGUACUAUUAAUAAUUCUGCUAUUAGUAGUAUCCGCCUAGUAAUUUGUACCAAGUUGGUAUCAAGAGCGCAUCGAUUCUGCGAGGGGGUUCUUGUGGUUUAUGGUCCUUACUCGAUCACAAUACAAAAAGCUAGGCAAGGUUCUUGUUUCUUGGGAAGAAACUAGGAGGACAAGAGAAAAGAGGAUGGGUGACGAAAGAACAGACAAAGAGAGACUUGAUGCGGUAGAGAAGCAGUUGGCGUCAAUAACUUCUACUCUUGCAGAACUGGCCAAUUUCAUCAAACAGGAGAAGAAAGUCGAACCUUUGGAGAAGCCGAAGAACAAGACUUCUGAUUCAGAUGACGAAAGGGAUGAAGCAGAUUCGGAUGAGGAAACAGAUGACACCAGCAAAACUUCGCAUCAAGGAGGCAAGGGUUCUUUUCGGAAUCUGAAGAUCGAUUUCAAAGUUGAAAUCCCUAUGUAUGACGGGAGCGUCAACUUAGAGAAACUAGAUGAUUAGAUUGAGUGUCUAGAGACUUAUUUUACUCUUUAUAACUACUCGUCAGAGGAGAAGAUUAUCUUUGCAACUCUAAAACUAUCGGCUCAUGCAUUGACUUGGUGGAAGUCCUUUCAGAAAAAUAGUGACGGAGAGGCAAUGUCGUGGAAGAAGUUCAAGGAGUUGCUUAGGAAGCAGUUCUAUCCAAUUGGUUUUCUGGAAGAAAGAUGGUGCAAGUGGUACAACUUGCGUCAAGAAUUCAAUCAAUCUGUACAAGAAUACACCACCGAAUUCUAAAAUCAAGCUAUGGUUUUGGAUAUUUCAUUGAAGGAGUAUUCUGUUUUCAUGAAAUAUGUGGCGGGUCUGAGUGAGUCCAGUAGGAGUUGAAAUUAUUCACGGUGGAAACUAUUGCAGAAGCCAGCGUGAAAGCCAUUGCCAUUGAGGGCAAAUUUAAGAAGAAUGUAACAUAAAGAGAUGGAAAGCAAUCUGUGGGUAAGUCCAAUGGUUCCUCUGUCAAAAAGAAGGAGCAUGAGGGUGGUGAGUCUGAUGGGAAAGAAUGUUUGGUUUGCAGUCACUGUGAAGGAACAGGCCAUGUGGUGGAUAAGUGUUGGGUGAAGUAUCCUCACCUUAAACCAACAAGGUUAAGGCAGAAGGAGGAGAAAAAGAAAGUCGCUUUGACCACACAAGAGCCAAAGGAAGUGCCAGGGAUGACAAAACCAAAUGCAAAGCUCAAUCAUAUGGUAGGAAAUAAGCAGCCUGUAACAAAUGAAGCAGACCCCAGGGAGCAGCUCUUUGUUGUUAAGUUACAGGUGAAGACCAGUUUGGUUGAUGCCAUUGUGGAUCCGGGUAGUAAGAUGAAUCUUAUCUCGGAAGCCUUGGUUCAGAAGCUAGGUCUCAAGACAGUCAGACAUUCGAAGCCAUAUCCGUUAGGAUGGAUCCAAAAGGAAGCAGGCGGGAUGAGUAUUACCAGCCAAUGCACAUUUAAGUUUGCUCUUCAUGAGUCUUACAUCGAUGAAGUGACAUGUGAUGUGGUGCCAUUGGAUGUUUGUCAGGUUAUACUAGGUAAUCCCUACUUGUGGGAUAGAUAUGCUAUCUAUGACAGGAGAGCCCAGAGAUAUACGUUCACAAAGAAUGAACAACAGUUUGUUAUUCGAGCGAUUUCCCUGCCACAAGAGGCGAGCUUGGUAGCAGUGACGCAAGCUAAAAGAUUAAUCAAUGCUUGUAGGAAAUUUGUCUUGUUGACACGUCCACAUGAAGGGCACUCAAGUCAAGAUAUUGAGAAGUCAAAAUUGAAGAAGUCAAAAUUGAAGAAGUCACAAGCAAAGUACAAGGCCAGACAUGAUAAUCGAGUACCUUGUUACUUUGGUAUUAGCGACUUAGUAUGGUUAAGGUUGAGUAAAAAGCGCCUUAAAGAGGAUCCAUUGUUAGAAGAUUGCAUUUUGGAGCAGCAAGUGGCUAUGACACGUCGAGGGGAGCAAACAGUGUUCUACAUUGGGCGUGCAGGUCAAGUUCCAAGCAAAGCUAAGUGGAUCAGCAAAGACAAGGGAACUCUCGAGUUUCUUAAUCUCCAGUUUUAACUUAAACAGGAGUUUAAGUUCCUAAAAGGGGGAGCCAUGAUACGGGUGUAUCCUAGCCUUUUAGGGAUUAGCCGAUUCCUUCUCCAAGUUAGUUAAGGAAAUAGUUUUUCUAGCUUGUUAGGGGAAUAGUUUUCCAACUUAGUUUGGGAUUAGUUGUCUAACUUAGUUAGGGAGUACUCUCCAAGUUAGAUAAAGAUUUAUAGAGAUUUAGACUCUAUAAAUAGAGGUGUCUAGCUUAGUUUUAGGGAGAGUGAAACAGAGAUAACAUCUAUUUAGACGAGAGCGAAACAGAGAGAUAGACCUGUUUAGAGUUAUUGUGAGGGAAAGAUUCAAACAAUAAACAUUGUACCUUUGCACAAUAAAAAGAGCAAAUAUAUUUCUUCAAACCUACAUUCCUUGUGUGUUUCAGUACUAUUAAUAAUUCCGCCAUUAGUAGUAUCCGCCUAGUGAUUUGUAUCAGAAAUCUUGUGCAAAUCUUUUUUGAAAAGGAUUGGUUUAGAUCUCAUUUAUGGUUAACAGAUUUGUUUUUCAAAGUUGUUUCGCUCUCAGUUUCAAUCAGUGAUUAAUGGGAUCCGAUUGAGGGGGAGUUAUGACACUAUAUAUAUGCCUCUAAGUAAUUUGUUGAACACUGAGUUUUAUAUUUGAUAAGUGCAUUGUGUUAUUGUCUAUUUGUGCUAAAACCUGUUGUUAAAAACUCAUUCAUUCAUAUUCACUGCAUCAUCUAUCAUUUGUAUGAUCUGAGAUCAGUGUUGUUGGAAGUGGAAUUGAAGGAAGCUACAAAGGUUCUUCAAUCAGAAUUCAUUGUUGUUUUUAGAAGAGUUCAUCAGCUGUAAAAUCAAGUUUGCUAUUGUAACUUGUGAAAGUGAUGAUAUUGUAUAUCACUACUUGAUUCGAUUGUAACCUCUUCAAAGUAUUAGUGGAUUGUUUGAGUGUGGACUACUAUAAAGUCUCGCAGUGACGUUUUCUCGAGAGAGGUUUACACUGUCGAUAACAAAUCUCUGUGUUCUUUGUUUUAAAUAUCUUUUUGUUGUAUAGAAAGUUAUUUUCACAAAACAAGACCAAGUACAAGAUUUCAUUCUUAUACUUUCACUCGGGACCCAGUGCUUUGGAGAUCGGGCAGACUGCGGAGGUGGAGGAAGGCGAGUUAAUUCCAACAAAGGAUGUGUGAGGAUGUUAACUCGGCAUUAGCAAUUUUGAAGCAUUGGUUGAUUUAGAUGUGGAGGGGUACACCAUGAGGGUCACUAGGCCCCAAGCUUUUAAGUUAACUGUUUUGAAGUUUGUUAGUGUCGUUAGCUGUUGAGUUGUUUUGUUUAUGUUGACUCAGUUUGCUUCUGUUGAGUCGGUUAGUAUUUUUUUUAACAUGGAUUUCUUGUUUUCAAGUUGUUUCCCUUUCUAGAUAGUAUCGAGUCAUUUGCAUAGUGGAUAGCUAUGAAGGUCUAUGGCCUUCAAGCUUGGUUUUGUAAGAUCGUGAUGAUUGUUAGAGCAGAUGCACCGCAAUGGUCAAUGACAAAGGCGAAAGGAAUGGUUUUGCCUCUAAAUUUGCCUUUGCCUUUUGAUUUUUCUGCAUCCUAAAAGGCAAGAUUUUUAGUCUCAACCACCUUCCGUGCUACACAAUUUUCUUCUCAUGUUUGCCCUUGUGAUGCUUGUAAUACCUCGAAAAUUCGAUAUUAGUUUCUAAUAUUAUUUAGGAAUUUUCGAGCUAGAAGUUAAUGUGUUUUUUUGAGGUUCGAAGGAAGGGUGGAAGUAUUCAGACGCAUAAAUUACCCGAAACGGUUCUUUAUUCUUUAAGGGUCAUAGGGCUGGGCAUAAAGCCCGCAGGAAGGAAAAAAAACCGACAAACUGACCCGGACCGAUUGGGCUUGACCGGGCUUUUUACCGGGUUUGUUUUAGGAAAUGUGCAUUUCGGGCCGGUCCCAUACUAUGCCGGGCUGGGCCGGGUCCCUUAUGUUAAAAACUUUUCUCGGCCCGAAAGCCCGAUAUCAUUGAUAUAUAAGUAUAUAACUCAUAGGAAGAGGUUGCCUCUAACUCCAACUCCCUCACUUCUAAACCUAAACCCAAUAGAGACACAACACCUCACCAUCUCACAAUUGCAACCAAAUCUUAACCGUAUGAUCAACAAGUUGAAGAGUAAGAGUACCUAUGUACAACACAAUGUAGACAAACCUCCCUAGCUUGUUUCUAUUAUUGUCCUCUGACUUGUUCCUCGUUAAUUCAAUGUUCUUCUUUUCCAGAAAACUAUCUGUGGCACUGCAUCACCAUACCCUUUCUCCCUGUACUUCCUCUGAAUCACCUCAUAAUCAGUCUCCCAUCCCCUUGGAACUUGAUUCCUUCCAUAUCCUCCAUAGCCUCCAUAGCCUCCAUAGCCAAAAGCCUGAUUGAAUCUUGUUAUUCCCAACCCCAACCCAAUUUUGUUCUUCCCAAUCUCCAACGAAAUCCUCUCAAAUAUCGAAUCCCUCUUAGAAAUGGAACCCAAAGAAUUUGGCGACGGCAAAUUGGUAUAUGAGAUCGUCGUUCACGUCAACUCAAAGCCUGAACAAGUCUCAAUACAAGCUUACCAGCUUUGAAAGAAUCAAAGCAAACCUCAAACGACGUCAUCUUCUGCUCAUCAUCUUCUAUUUGGAAACCAAGCCCUGUUUGUCGAUCUUCUAGGUGAUCUCAUCAUACACUCUUUGAAUCAAUCUAUCUGUAAAUUUUGAGAAAAAGAUGCAGUCUUUAUUUCAAUAGCUACUAAGUCUUGGUUUUGGGAUGUUUCUGAUGUGUUGAUAUGUUUGAUUAGAGCCUGAUGUGGCAAAAUGGGAAAAAAAGCCUGAAAAACCGGCAAGACCGGCCGGGUUUAUGCCAGUCCGGGCUUUUGCCGGUCUUAGAAAUUUUGAUGGCAGAGACCGGCCCGUCUAGUCAGUAGCCGGUCUGGGCCCGGACUUGAAGAAAAGUGUGUCGGUCUGGGACCGUGCCUAGCCCUAAAGGGUCAUAGAGUUGACUUUUUAUUCGUUUGAUUUCUUGAGAAACUUCUUUCACGAAAGUUGUAGAGCACGACGAUACGAGUCCGUGGACAUGUGGCAUGCGUAAAACGGAUGUCGUACGAAAAAGUUAUGGUCAGCGGAAGUUUCUACAUUUUUUCAAAGUUGUCUAUAAAUAGAAAAAAAAAAAAAAAAAAGUUUACCAAUUUUAAAAUCGCGCAUCUCUCUUCUCCUCUCAACCUUCUUUAGUUUUUCAACCAUAUCUUGGUCAUCCGAGCUCGGAUUUAGGCAAAUGAGGUACCGUUGGAAAGCUCUCUUGAUUCUCUACAAGUUUGUGGUGAUUUGGUAGUAAGAUUCGAGCAGCUGGAGGUGCAGCAAGGCAGGGAAGCAGCUAUGCCGCCGUUUUGGGUUCUUCGUCGGAACUUCUAAUUCCGAUCACCUUCGGUGACAACUCUUGAAGGCUUUUGAAGCUUGUGAGAAGUGGAUCAAUCCCUCCAAGCCUCUUGAACCGACUUGAAGAUUGGAGGGUGAAUUGAGGAUUUGAAAUCCUAGGGUUUCAAUCACUCAUUUUACUUGAGAGGUAAAUUCCACCUUCUAUAGUUAAAAUUGGACUUUGUGAUAGUUGAGACUAUUGUAGAGCUUGUUGAGAUGAAGAGUUUGGUGUAUGAACCAUGACCCGGUUCGUGGGUCUCCGGUGGCGCGUGGGGCCCACUCGUCGUCGCCUGUGGCCACGCGUGGCAACGUGUCUGAUAGGGUGUGUAGUUUUGGUUGUUGUGGUUAGCUAGCUCAUGUUGUUGUAAGCUUGUUGAGAUGUGGAAUUUCUAGGUUUUGAGCAAGGAUUGCAUGCUAGGACUUUAUGUUUAAUCUUAGACUUGUGAGAGGUUUUGAGUUUAGGAUUUGGGAAAUAGAGGCAACAAUAAUGGGUUGUUAAGUUCGACUACCUUUGAAGGUUGUCCUCCUUUGGAUUAAGGUUUGUUAAGGGUGCAAUGUUCUUUUUGUUCAAGUGGUUACUAAGGUUAUUAAUUUUGUUAAUUAGGUAACUUGUGGAGUUGGUGUUGAGCUUGGCCUGUGUGUUUUUGUGAAGAUGCAGCGGGAUUUUUAGGUGAGUAAAUUCUCACUAAGGUCCAUUUUGGGACCAAUUAUUUAUAAUUAUUAUGAUGAUGAUUUUGAUGAUGAUGAUGACAAUGAUUAUGAUGAUGAUUUUGAUGAUGAUAAUGCUUAUGAUGAUGAUUAUAAUUUAAAAAUUAUGUUUUUUUUGUUUUAAAAUAUAUGAGCUUAAUCGCCAACGGCUUAUAUGUAAGAAAAAAAAAGUUUUUCUAUUUAAAUGAAUUUUUAAGGUUCUUGUGACCAUAAUAUUUUUAGUUCUAUUGAUGUGAUUAUUUCUGCCUUGGUGGUGAUUGUGUGUCUUAGUUGUGAAUGUGUGCCUUAGUGGUGAUGGUGUGCAUUCGUUGUGGAAUGGUGUCUUAGUGGUGAUUGUGUGCAUUCAUUGUGGAAUGGUGUCUUAGUGGUGAUUGUGUGUCUUAGUUGUGAGUCUUAGUUGUGAAUAUGUGCCUUAGUGGUGAUUGUGUGCAUUAGAUUAGGAGCCUUCGUGGUGGACCCGGAACCAAGCCUUGGCCGGGUGAUUGGUUACGGUUAGUAUAGAGCUCUAGUCUGUUUGUUGGUACUUUAUGGGGGAUGACUAAGUUUUGACGAACCCAUGAGCACGCGUUUGUUUGGUUACUUAUGGGGGACGACUAAGUGUUGACGAACUUAUAAGUAAGAGUAGAGAAAUGAUUGUGUGAUGUUCUUAUGUGUUGUCAUUAAAAUUCUUUGUUUUGAGUAUCUCCUGAACUAUGCUUAUCCGCAGGAGAUUCUUUAAUCUUAAUUGUGUGAUUUUAAUGAAAUUCUUGAACUACGCUUUUUGAAUGAUUCAUUUAAGAUUUUAGAGUUAUAUCAUGCCCAAUUUUUUGGAAAUUUAACAAUUCGAAAAUUGGGGGUGUGACAAUGCUUCUCUCUCUCUCUCUCUCUCUCUCUCUCUCUCUCUCUCUCUCUCUCUCUCUCUCUCUCUCUCUCUCUCUCUCUCUCUCUUCUACUAGUGUAGAUACAACUCAUACAAGCUCAUAGUUUAUACUUCUCUCUUGUGUUAGUUGUCGUUUGUGGCUUUGUUCCAAAGAACCCAGAUCCCAAAUUUGAAGCUAUGUUCCAAAUAAAAGACCUAGAUUUUUAUUUCAUAAGAGUCGUUCUGAUUUGAUUCAAACUUCUACCUUUCUUUCUCCCAUUGUUCUUUCUCUCUUCUUUUCUUGAUCUUUGCUGAAAAAAGACGAAGAAGAAAGAGAAAGAAAGGAACAGAGUAAUAACGAAGAAGAAAGAGAAAUGAAUGAAUAUAGUAAUACUAUAUAAUUAGGGUCAAAACUGGAAGUAAGAAAAAUAGUGAACAAAAUACAGUACAAGCCCACUAUAUUGGACGACCUCCUGAAGAUGCAAAACCUACCAGUGUAGUCAGUCGACCAUGCUUUUGAUCGGGCAUAAGUUAUGCGAUGGAUGAAUUUUAGGCUAAUUAAGAGGCUAGACCAUGGUCUUGCCCCUUACGGUGCAUAUGUUCGUUCUUAAUCAAUUGAUUUAAUCUGUUUCUUUCAAAAAAAAAAAAGUCUAUUGUUUCAUAUCCAAAUUUUGUUAGUUUUUAUGAGGACUAAAAGAGAAACGCUUGUUUUGAGUUUACAUGGUAAGAAAAAUUCUAUAUGCCUACGUGUCAGCUGUAAGAACCAUGCGUGACAAGACUAGAGAGGGAUCAGUCGCCACAUUUCGGCGACAAACAACCAGUGCCGUCAUUUAAAUGGACUCAGAUCUUCAGCUCAUGUUUUCCUGCUCAUAUUGCCUCAUAAGGCAAUCCUAACCAUCCAGAAGUAAACAACGGCUCAGAUGCCAUUUAUUUUAGUUUUCAGAUAUUUUCUUCUCAUUCUCUCUUCCAAUUUCUCACAUCACAUAAUCUAUUCUCAGUCUCUCUUCCUCACGAAACUUGAGCGCUACUCCCNNNNNNNNNNNNNNNNNNNNCCCCCCCCACGCCACAACCACGAUCGAAUGAACAAGACCUAGUACCACCCUUGCACCUCCGCAUCCUUGCCCAGGAGUGUGCAGGGCUAGCACAGAUCUCCGGCCCUCCAGCAAGCGCGCACACCCUUGCCUUAUGCACAAGAUCCCUACCCAGCGUCGCCGACGUCACUGCCCUGCUAACGCCUCUAGCUUCUUUCUCCUUUUUCAUGUGUUCUCUGUGUGUUUGCUUGUUGAAUAGUUCCUCGAAAAACUGUUGCAAAACAAAGAGAAAACAGGGUGGUUUGGUUGUUGAACUCAGCCGUCCCACAAAUCUUCAGGAAUGACUUCCCAAAUCAGUUCCCCUUCUUCUCUAUUCAUCUUCUCUCAUUUGUGUAUAUCUUGUUAUUUCAAUUUGUUUUAUAACGUUCUAGACUGAGCUUGAGCUUCUUGGUUUUGUCCCAAUUUGGUCAUGUUUUAGAAAAGUAUGAGUACUUUGACCUUUUUGGGGGCCUUUGAGUACUUUGUGUAGAUGUUAGUAUACCUUUGGCCAAGUCUUCUGUGUUUUCUGUUCUACUUUUAACAUGAUAUGUUCCCUUAUAGUUGCAUAACAAUUUUGAGUAUUUUCGUAAUGAUCUAAAGACUUUCUCUUUUGGUUUCCUUACGGAAGUUUUCAUCAAGAUUAAAGUUUCUUAUGAAUUUUGGUUGAAUGGUAUUUGCAUGAGACGAAAAAGUGGGUGACGAGCAUUUUGGUUGGUAAUGGAGGGAACUUGGGUGCUUUGAGGCACAAGGAUUGCCUGAGUUUUCAAGACAGUCGGCUUCAUCCAGCAGCAGGGUUUAGGGAUAUAGUUUUCUGUCGAUUCCAAAAUGUAUUGAUUAGUGCCAUUUUUAGUUUCUAUGAUAUUCAAGAUUGAUGCAUUAUGGUAGCUUUGAAAGUAAAGUUCAUAUCAAUGAAAUUGACUGCGGUUGUCUAAGCAUCAUUUAUGUUUUUGUUGUUGAACUUAAAGUAUGAAAGAAAAGAAAAUUGAGAGAUUUUUGGGGUGUGGAUUGUAAAUGAUGGUAGAGGUAUUGUUUGUUUUACAUGGUCCUUGCAUACAUGAGGUAUAUUUGACACAUAAACACAAACCUAGAACUCUUAUUUAAUUUACAUACACAGCAAUUCUAUGUGUACACACACAAGUUCUGGGACUGUAAAUGAUGGUUGUUAGUUGCCAAAUACAAAAUACACAAAACAUCAGCAUAAGUACCCAAAUACACUUCCAUCUCUUAAAAAGCUAUAGCCUUCAUAACAACCAAGUUGAAUAGAUUCCUAGCAAAAUGUGUAACAAAGCACAAAUCUGCCAAUUUUCCAUGCUGCAACUCUGCACCACUUUUCCUCAAAAUGAUCCUGCACUAGUUUUCCUUAUGAUAUGAUAUUCUUGGGUCUUGCAAUGAAAAUGGAAAUCCCAUGAUAUUUGAUUGACAAAAUGGUUGUGCAGUUGGCCUAGAUGAUUCUUGAUAAGCCAUCCAAGACAAUUGGUUUGACAUAUUCAAUUCAUGCAUCUGUAGUACUAGCGGUAAUAAAAUCAGCUAGGGAAAAAAAAGUAUUAGGAUGAUAGAGCAAAACAAAAAUCAUAUAUAAUAAACACACUCACGUUAUAAGGAUGAUAGAACAUUGACAUAUAUCUACCAUCAUCAACUAUCAUAGGAGAGUGAAUAGGUACCUGCAAGUACUAGUAAUGAAUCAUAUAAUUCCUUAAAUUUUUUAAACUCAUUAUGCACAAUAUAAAAAAUACCUGAGAUGAAUGUGAAAGAGGUAAUGAUGAUUGACUACAUAACUGUAUACCAACAGUAUUGUUCCCAAUGACCUAUCACAAUAUCAAUAAUUAGAAAUGCUAUAUAUGUACUCUACUAAUAACAAAAACUUUCAAGUUAGCUUCUUUUCCUCAAGUUAGCUACUGCCAAACCAAAGAAAACAUCUAUAUCACCAUAUAUCAUUGUCAGUACUUAAUUAAUCUUAUGCUUUUAAUUACAAGAAUGCGAAAAUUAAAUGAAGCUACACACUAGAUGGUAGCUUGUGUAAAAAACUCAAGUAAACUAAAAGAAUAUCAGUACAAAAUUAAUAAGUGAUGAAGAAGGUACCUAACGUGACGAAGGCACAUAAGAUUGGUCUGUUGCCGCAAUUGGAUUUGGAACUUUGGUUACCUAUCAUUGUAUCAGUUAUUAAAAUUAGGGUGCUUAAAUUUACACACCCCAAAACACAAACCACACACCCCUCUAUUAUUUUAUUAAUAUUUUCCCCCACUAUCUCUUUCACUUCCAAAAAUAUCCUUAAUCUAAUUCUUUUUUCUCCCACUAUCUCUUCUCAUACCUUUCUUCGUUUCUUUUCCCUCUCUCUCUCCUCAAAUACCUAUCAGACCAUUUUCCUCUCUUCCUCCAAACAACAAACUUUUCCACUCUUCCUCCAAAACAAAACAAGAUCUUCUUCUUUUAUGAAUAAAUGUCUUUUGUAAGGGAUAUUCUUUUUCUGUUGCCUUAAAUUUGAAAAGAAAAAAACUCAAUUUUAAUUUGAUGUUCUUAUCUAUGACAAUGAAUAAUAGUUCUAAACUAGGAGAAGACGCACAUGUACACUAUCUUACUACAACAAAUUCAAGGAUUUAGUAUUCAAGGGAGUAGCUUGUUCGUCUUGACAACAGCUUGGCCAAUAUAAACAAUAAAAGUCAUUAUCCCAAUACAACUCUCCAAUAAAAUCCAAAAUAUUCAAAAGUUGCAUUACUUCAGGAACAUCUAUUGACUUCAUAAAUAGUCCUAGACUUGUUCUAACAAAAAGCUCCAACAGAGACAUAUUAACAAGUAAUAUCUCUCAUCAAUUAGCAGUCAAAAAAUUUAGCCAAUAUUGUUGCUUCCUUUCCUACAGUCUCCACAGAGCAAAUCUCACCUACCAGAGAUAAAUACUCGAGUGAAAUUGACAUAACAAAGCAAAUCUCACCUACAAGAGAUAAAUACUCAAGUGAAAUUGACAUAACAAAGCACAAAUUCAAGUUUUACAUCAUAUUUAAACAUGUAUGCACGAGAUAAAUUAUGCACAUCAUGACCAUACCUCAAGUCCAAUGAAACAAAAUAUGUCACAAAUAUUUGUUUAGUAAAGUAAAGUCGUAAACAACCAGAUGAGUUAAUAUGAACAAAACCACCUACAAAUGUAAUCAAACCAAUGCACAAUGAAAAACUAAUCGAACAAGGAAUCCAAAUGAAAAUCUAAUCACACUUCGUUGUAUUGGGAGUAGUCCAUUGCAAACUAACCAACAAACUUGGAAUGUAAUAUCAACUUAGAUAACCAAAAUUUUAAAGAUUAACGAACAUAUAUGUGAGAAGAACAUAUUCAGAAAACUAGGCUUCUAUACAAUAUUCAAGAAUAUAUCAGCAUAUAAAGUUGACAGAAGCAUCAACCAAAAGAAAGAAAUAAAGAAAGUAAACAAACAAUUAUGACUAACACAAAACAAGCUUGCAUAUUUACCUUAUUGUGUUCCUGAUGGAGCAAACCUAUUAGUAGAUGAACAUUUGUUCCGAUAAUGACCAAUAUUACCACAGCCACUACAUUUUCGUGGUGCUUUCUCCACUACCUCAAAAUGUGAAAUUUCUCGCGUUGUAGAGCUGGUUCCUUUUCUUUUAGUUGAUCCUACCGGGCGGCCUUUGUGAGGUUGAAGAGUAGGUUCAAAAAUUAAAGGAGAAGAUGCACCACGAAUCCUAGAAAGCUGCCUCAUGGUAUUUUCUUUUUGCAUAAGUGGCUGCUUUUCAUACCUCUCUUUAAUCUCAGAUAAAAGACUAUUGAAUGGAUCUUCAUGAUCCAUGCUUGCAUGAUGAUCAUUAGUGAAUGAUCUUGUGUCAAUCCUCCAUUGCUUAUGAAUAUGAGUUAGAGGCAACACUUCAAUAUUCAUUCCCUUGAUCAUGUGCACACAUGGAAGACCCAUGGUAUUGGAAAAUUGAUCGAGUAUCAUAAUCUUUUGUAUUUGCCAACAAAUAUUGCUUUUGUAACUCAAACAAAGCAUAGAAAGAUACCUUAUUAACCACCUCUUUGAAGAAAGGGAUGCAAAGCUUUUGAGGAACACGAAUCUUUUCACUUGCAAGUUGAGUUAUAAUUUCUUGAAACUGAUUUUGAAUUGCAAGACAAAUAUUUUCCUUCACUUCACGGAGACCACCAGUAGAAACUUGAAGAUAUUUCUUUAAAGUUCCAUGUGCACCUUCUGCUCUAGAAGUAACAUUAUUACCAAAAUGUAAAAUCUGUCCCGUCCAUGCAUACACAAAUCUCUCCUUCCAUGAAAGCCAAAUAUUGGCAAUGUAAGUUAGAACUGAUGCCUAGUCUUUGUACUCAAGCUGAAAACGGUUCCAAGCUUCAUUAAACAUUGACACAUCCCAAGAUUUUACAAGGGUAAUCCAAGAACACAUAAAAGCAUCCCAAUCUACAUCUUCCUUAAACUGACCCUUACAAUGUGCAAGGAUAUUUUUUUCAAUAUGUCAUAUGCAUAAAAGAUUAGGAGUCCCCGGAAACACAAUCUGAAUUGCUUUCAUCAAUGCCAACUCCCUGUCAGUUAUAAUCGCCAAUGGAUGAUCACCAUCUCCCAACAACUUACUAAACAUUUCAAGAGCCCACUGAUAGUCCUGUUGUUCCUCUUUUUGCAUGAAAACAAAACACGAAUAGAAGGAAGUGUUGAAACUCGACACUCCUAUAAUCUCAAGUAAUGGCAUCUUAUACUUAUUUGUCUUAUAAGUACAAUCCAUUACAAAGACACUCGAGUAGCUUUUAGUCAACUCAAUGGAUGUCGGAUGAGCAAAGAACAAAUGAGUCAAAUGACCAGAAUGAUCAUAUUUGACAAUAUGAUAAAAACUAGCACCACCAAGCUCAUCUAAUAAUGCUUGAAUAAUUGAACGCCCACCUAGACUUUCCUUCCUAAAUUGAGCUGUCUUGCUAUAUAUAUUUCUUGAAACUGCAAGAAGAUCAGGAUUAUUUUGGCGAAGGGAAAAGAGAAUCUGACGUGGUUUUAUGCCAGCCUUACUCAUUUGUUCAACUUGUAUAGCUUCCUCUUUGGUAAAUCUACGAGAAUAUGGAUGUCCGGCCAUAUCAAUGGAAGGAUCAUGAUUAUGAAAUAAGCUAAUUAUCUCAACCUUCCACAACCCUUCAGCUGUACUUCUUCCCACAAUUUUGAAAGGGCAAUCUAUCAAACGAGAAGCUGAAUUUUUUUUUCUUCUCCUCAAGUGUAGAGAGGUUCGAUAAGAACCACCUCUAUCACAACCAAUAAGCACAUAACGUCUAUCACCACCUUUACUCCUUUUGGAUCGUUUGAUUACCAUAGCAUACCCUUGUGACUUCCCAAUUUUACGAACAACACUCAGAAGAUCUUCUCGAGUUUCAAACAACUUCACCGAUAAUGAGAGGAAUUCAUUCGCAAUAUUAGUCACGGAGGGGCCUUCAAGUAAAUCAAAGAAAAAGAAAAUAAUUAAAGGGUCCAGAUGAUCUUCGUGACUAUCCAGUGAGGAGCCCCACACCAACAACAAACUCUAAUUACAAAUUCUUAACAUGAUAAAAGUGAUAACAGAUAAUACUUUCCAUUGACAAUGGGGCCUUCAAUGAGACUAGAUGGGUGAUUAGAAUGUAAGUCUUCCUCCAAACCAUCUGAAGACAUAGAAAUAUGCAACCCAGCAACCAUUGGAUCUUCCUCCAUACCAUCUAACUUCCUGCUGCUGAUAUUGGGGAUAAAGAAAUUUUUGUCAGUAUAAGCUAUUCUACAAGAUUUUGGGUAAGCAUAUAGACUUCAAAUUACUCGAUUAAUCAGAAACCCUAUACCCAAAAAUCAUAAGGAAACAAAUUUGUGCAAAUUGAUAUGAUAAGAAAGAUAAAGACAGUAGCAAUGAUUGAACUUAAGAAAAGAACAACAAAAUUAACCAGAGCAACGAUUGACCUGGUUUGGAUAAAAGAUUGGUUGGAGUUGGAGCUGGAGCUGGAGUUGGGAUUUGGGAACAAGAGACUUUCAGUAUAGAGAGAAAGAAUUUUGACGUUUGCAGAAGAAGCAGAGAGAAGAGAUUUGGGGAAGAAAGGUAUGAGAAGAGAUAGUGGGAGAAAAAAGAAUUAGACUAAGGGUAUUUUUGGAAGUGAAAGAGAUAGUGGGAGAAAAUAUUAAUAAAAUAAUAAAAGUGUGUGUGGUUUGUGUUUUGGGGUGUGUAAAUUUAAGCACCCUAAAAUUACUAUAUUUAGUCAAAAGUACAUAAUAGCUUCAGCCAUAGUUAAAAACACAUUACCUGUGUAGCCUUCUUUUUGCUUUUGCUUAAUGCAGCUUCAAAGUCUCCCACGAUGCGUAGAUUCUCUUUUUUUGAAUCCCUUUGCAUUCAGAAUAUUACGAUUAUUAGAGCAAUCAGCCAAUACAUUUUGGUCUUGAUCUUCCACAUCUUUAUCACCGUUUAUUUCUAAACGUAACAUGUCUUCAACCAUCUUUGCUAAUUUAUCAGCUUCCAUAACUACUCAUAUGCCUUUUCACUCUCAGAUGCUUUACUGCUACUCGAACGAGUUUAGAACACAAGAUUUUGUUUUGAGAAAUUCGUUUUAGUCUUGGAUUCUCUACAAUCUCCUGCCCAUGCAUGUCUUCUACAACAUUAUCAAUUCUUGCAUUUUUGGUCCACCUCUCCAAGAUAUAUUGAUCAGGUAUUUUUUUUUAUGAGUGUAGUUUCUCUACCUUCAUUCAUGACUUUGAUAGCAUGCCUACACAAGACACCAUCUGUCUCAAACAUUCUACAACUGCAAGAUACAGUAAACUCUCCUUCUCUUUUUACUACCUACCCGCUUCUUAGUGAAUCCAUCCCUAACCACUGUGAAGAUAAAAGUUUCACCAUUGGACACAGACUUCGUUAUGGAAGACUUUAAAGACUCUUCAAAUUGAGCUUGAAAUUCUUUAAAUAUCGCUUUGGUAUAAACUUCUCGUGCAUGUUUCAAGAUAUUUAUCUCCAUUUUGCAGUGAACAAUCCGGAAUUGCAGAUCAUACUCGGCUUCCAAUUCCUGACACCGCUUAUCAUAUACCAUUCUUUCAAAGUGAGUAAAAAACUUGGCCAGCUGAAGGUCAGAUUUCAAAUACCCCCUUCAAACUAGCAAUAUUAAAGCUUUCACUAAGUUGGUACUUUUCAUUCCUGCUGACCAUGUCCACUUAACAUAUGCAUGCACCCAUUUUUUUUCUUAUUGCAAAUGUCGCAACCAACUAAGGAUCAUCAUGUGCAUUGUGUUGAUCAAGCAUGGACUCCCAAGCACUUAAGAACUCAUCUUCUUUCUCAAUCCAAUAAAGAAAUUUGUUGAAUACAUUGCUCUUAUCAUCGGUAUUAGAAUUUUUGAAUAAGAAGCCUACUUUCUUCACGGCAUUUUGCAUCAAAUGCCAUACACAAAGUUGGUGGUAUGUAUCAGGCAUCACUUGUAAUACAGCCUUGGUAUCACUGCAUCUUGAUCAGUAAAAAAUGUUUGUGGAGGCUUAGCACACAUUGCCUUCAAGAAGGUUUCAAACAACCAUAUAUUUGAUGUUGUAGUCUCGUCAUACAUCAAAGCAGCUCUAAAUAUAAUUGUCAGGACCCACCCCGAAUUUCACCUUGAAACCCGAGGUAAAUCCUGUGGGGUCCACCUCUAAGGAAAAUUUACCGAAAAUUCAGCAUAAUCUACCUUGAAAAUGGACAACCCUUAUCUGAAAAAUCCAACUUACACUUCUAUAACCAAACAAACCAGCCUCAACACCUGGAGCCUUUCUGCUCCCCAAGAUUAUCACAUCUCCCAAUAUAACAAUUACUCAACUACAAUAAUCCCAUAACCAACAAAAGACAAUUAAUAAUUUACUACUGGACUUGCAGAGCAUAUCUAAAGUUGAAUGAAAAACAAUGAAUAAAGAAUAAGCGGAAGCUGCCUCUGACUAUGCCUCGACUCCAUGUACGCUCGACCUCAUUUAAACUUAUCAUGCAUACUGAACAUUUAAAACCAAAGGGCCCAGGGGAAAGUAAGUUAAAAAUGUUAGAGUAAGUGGACAAAAAUAAAUUAAAUAAUUUAACAAAAAAAUAACUUGUAUACUUUCCCACUAGUUAAUCAAAUAUAGAAAUCUCGUAAAAAAAGAUAAACCAGCCCCACUGGUUUAAUCAAAUUUAUAACUGAGAAAAAUCAAAUAAAGGGAAGAGUUAUCACCAUGUAAGAGAAGCCUCUCAGGCUCGGGUCGGUGUCUCCCAGGCUAUAAUAGCGUCCCACGCUAAGCGCUCAACUCACCUAUGGUGAGGACCACUAAUAAAGACUAGCUAGCAAUAAAUAAUAAUAUCCAAUCGGUGCCUCCCUGGCUAUAGUAACGUCCCACGCUAAGCGCUCGACUCACCUAUGGUGAGAACCGCUAAUAAUAAAGGCUAGCUAGUAAUGAAAUAUGAGCGACCCUAUAUUAUGGUGACUAAAACCAUACGAAAUCACUUAAAUCCAUUGAACUUCCCCAAGAUCAUACGAAUGGUAUGGUUCCCAACCGUACUUGAAAAUUAUCACAAGAAAUUAUAAUAAUACUCAUUGACGUGUCUCACGUCAAUAUAUUCUCAAAUCCAUAAUCAAAAGUGAGAUUUAAUUAUCAAGUAUAAAUUGUAAUUAAUUUUUCAAUCCGAAAAUACUUGCUGAAAAUAUUCUCAAUGUCAAGGUCAAUAAUCCACAAUUAAACAAGAAAGUUAUAAAUAGAGAAUUACCGAAAAUCUCAUUUUCGAAAAUCUUUAUAAAUCUCAAAGUCCACCAUAAAACAAUCAUAAUGAAAUCCGGAAUUUAUAAAAAAAUCCAAAUUCAAAUAUCAAAUUAAUAAUCCGAACUCAAAUCCAUAAAUCAUGACCAACCAUUAAUCAAUGCUUCAAACUCAAAUAAUUUCCAAGAUCAUCUCAUAAGCCAAAAUUAUAACAUAAGCUCGGAAAAUAAAAUGAUAAAUUAUAAAAUCUUGCAUACAUAUUUAUUUAAAACCAAAAUGUCCACUCACAAAUUGAGGCAUAAGCCCGACGAUAUCCGAAUCGCCACUCAAGCAAGGUUCCCUUUGUAUCUUGGCACUAUAACCAUGCUUAGAACCAAACUUCAAUUCCAGAAAAUAAAUACUUAAAUAUAAACAUCAAAACUCUUCCGCUUAACUCACUACCCUUACUAGGGUUAAGCUCCCCGGAUUUCCACUAAACUCCACCACAACCUUAAUUUAUCAAUUCUAACAUUCUAGAAUAAAUACCAAAGAAAUCCAAUGGCAGGAUUUUUAUUCUAACAACCGCCAAAAUUCUCAAUCUUUGAAAAAAUCUCAAACCUAACCAAAACUCCUCCAAAAAUUCCAAACUUCACAUCAUUAAACUCCCUUAAUAUAACACAUUUAAAACCCUGAAAAGCCCCCUUACAGCCCCCUCACAAAGUCUAAUUUCGAGCUUAACUAAGUCAAUCGAACAAAAACAUCGAAUGUUGAGAGGAAAGUUGUAGAUGGUGCUAAAAUUUGGUAGGCAUUGGAGGUCUCCUAGAAGUUCAACUACCUAGCUCAAGAGGGAGUGAAUCCUUUUGAGGGUUUGCUACCCAAAGUGAGACCUUCCAAACGGGACAAGAAACUCCGGCUAUGGUGGCCGAAGAAGGAAGUUCCGGCGAAAACUCCACCGAGCACAGCCGCGUCUUUCCGGCCCGAUUUCUCCUUCACGGCGGCGUGACUUCACCGGGCCAGCUACCCAAAAUGAUGGAGGAGGAACUAAGCUUCAAAUCCCGACCGGUAUGGCAGCCUAACUCCGCCGGAUGGCGGCGAACGGAGGUGGAGAAGGCGCCGGGUCGGGAACCGAGCGGGAGAGAAGAGAGAGAAGUGAAAGUGAAAAUCUGAUUUUUCACUUUUGACUUUCCACCUUUGGUCCCUUUUAUUCCUACCUUCCUGAAAUAGUAACUUCAGUUUUUUAGACCAUAACUUCUUCAUACGAACUUCGUUUUUGACGUGCCACAUGUCUACGAACUCCGUUUAACGUCCUCUACGACUUUCAUGAAGAAAGUUUUCCCAAAUUUUAGACGAAAGAAAAAGUCAAUUUUUGGAGCCUUAAAUAGUAAACGGUUACUCAAAACGGUAAAAGUCAAAAUAAUACCAAAAGUAAAUAACCCUAAUUUAAUUUAAGAACCGGGAUGUGACAAUAUAUAAUCGUCUCCCUGUGGUGAUUUAGUCCAACAAAUACCGCAAAUGGCCGAUUAAUUUUCUUCGUUAAUUUUGUAAGUUGUAUCAAAACUUACAACAUCUCCAAAUGAAGCAUAAUCCAUUAUUAUUUUAGCAUCUGCCCAGAAAAUGUUGGUGAUUUGUUCCUCACUAUCCAACUGCAUCUCAUAGAAAAAAGAUGGAUUGUCCAACAUUUUCUUUGAAAAAUAUUCCAACAGAUAACCAGCUUCUCCAAAUUAUUAUUUUGUUUUUUUGUCAGACAGUUCGAAGAUAGUUCUUUUGGUCUUGCUUUGAAAAUCUCAAUAUUCCACCAGCAUGCUUACCCAUUAAUUCAAAUGCAGACUUUGGCGGAACUCUUGAAUUUGAAGUCAAGUCUAUAAAUGCACCAUCUGAAGCUUUGGCAUUUCGGUGAGAUGGCAACAUAUGCACAAGAUCUAUCUUAACAAGAGGAUGAUUAUGCUCUUCGGAGAAACGGUACACACAAUACUUCCCUGUACGCCUAACAAACUUAAUGCCAAUAUGCGCUCCACAUCCGGUCCUUGUCUCACCUCUUUGGGUUUUUUUUUUUUGUUAAAAAAGCCUCUUGGGUUUUUGGUCAAAUCGUUUCUCUUGUCCUUCCCUCGCACACCUUCCUUACAACAAACAAAAGUCCUUGAAGUGAUUACCCCAAACUUAUCCUUGGCACAACUAUCUUUUCUAAUGCUGAAGCCUUCUCUGCGUCCAUACUCAUUAUAAAAAUCAUAUGCAACUUCAUCAUAAUCAAACUCCAUACCAUAUCUAGGCUUCCAUAUCAAUUCUUCUUUUGAUAGCUCCAUGCUACUUUCUUCCACAGAUUCUUCCAUCCUCAAAACCUACAAUCAAGAUUGCGAGAAAAAUAAAAAAAACCAAANNNNNNNNNNNNNNNNNNNNAAAAGAAGAACAUAAACAAAAAUAGAAAUAAACACAGUGAUCUGAUUCCAUCAACUUUCUAAACCCUAAAUGGUUACGAUUUACAAGUGAGUAAACUAACUUAUAUGAGUUGAUCUUUUCUUUUGUUGACAAUGAACAAUAAAUACCUUUGAACCUUCUUCUCUGCGUGGCCAAUGGAAAGAUUCGACAGAGAGAGAGGGAGAGAUGAGAGAAACAGAUACGGAGGGGGGGGGGAGAUAGAAGGAGACGAAGAUGAAGAGAGUCCUCCAAUCUUCUGGUUUGUUUUUUAGGAUAAUGCCCAUUAGCCCUAAUUUUAAAAAUUGUAAUCCCCUUAACAAAAUCAUAUUUUAAAAUUCCGAAGAGCCAACUUAAACAGAAAAAAGACAACUAUACCCUUAAUAAUUUAAAUAAAUUACAAUAAACCAUUAUAAGAACAAUAGAAGAUCUAUUUUGAAAUAAAUAUCUAUGAUCGGAUUCUCGCAACCGAUGACCGUUGACCAUAACUCCGGCGGCUGUUGACCGGACUUCGGUGAGAGGGCAGUAGGUUCGUUGGGGAGUCUAUUGGGGGCAGUAGGACUUCAUGUCCGGGGUCUAUUAGGGCAGUAAUGGUUCGUCGGGGGGCGGGGGGUCUAUUGGGGGAAGUAGGGGGUUCGUCGGGGGUCUAUUGGGGGUAGUAGGGGGUUCAUCGAGGGUCUAUUAGGGGCAAUAGGACCUCCUAUUGGGGGCAGUAGGACCUCCUACUAGGGGUAGUAUGACCCUUGAACUUAGCUGUGUGCUUCAGUAACUUAUAACAUGUCCAUAUUAGGGGUAGUAAGACCACCUAUUGGGGUCAGUAGAACCUCCUAUUGGGGACAGUAUACAUGAAAGAUGAGAGAGUAUGAGUGACAAGACCCACCCCGAAUUUUACCCUAAAACCCAGAGUAAAUCCUGCGGGGACAACCUCCAAGGAAAAUAUUACUAAAAAUUCGGCAUAACCUCCCUUGAAAAUGGACAACCCUUUCUAAAGAAAACCUGCAAACACUUCUAAAAUUCUUAAUCCACCCUUAACUUCUGGAGCCUACGUGCUCCCCAACACAACCACCACCCAGAAAUAAUAAAUCAUCUUCCAAAUCAACACAUAAUUAUCCAAAUAAGAUCACAUAAAUCAUCCGAAAAAUAUUCUAAAAUGCCAACAAGCCUUCGCCCAUAACCGAAUUAAAAUUAUACAAUAUCCCCAUGGGAAAAUCAGAGCUACUAGACACUAGAGGAAGCAAGAAAAACACAGGUAGGUUAAAUAGGUAACCUACGGAUGAAAGAUGGUGGAAAUGCGGGUGACUAUGCCUCGCCUCCUACUAGAUCCAACCAGUACUCUGCAGACUGGGCAUUUUAAAACGAAUGGCUCAUUAAUAACGUUAGAGUGAGUGGACAAAAAUAAAUUAUUAAAAAUAUUUAUGCAUUCCCAUUUUAAUUCCAAAGAAAAAUACAUUGCAUGCGGCAGCUCAAAAGCACUCAACUCAUAAACUAGCAAUUUCACGACUAGCUCCAGCUAGUCACCAACUCAAAUAAAAUGGAGCCUCUCAGGCUAAACUAUAUAUAAACAUAUAGGCGUAUGUAUUUACACUCGUCAGACUCCUUGUAUGAAUCCUAUGAACAAAUUAGAAAAAUAGAAAUUCAUACAAGGCUACGACGCUUGCGUCUAACGCUCACGUCGCGCCAUAAUGAAAUUUUUCCUUAUUAUGACCGAAGAGGACGGUGUAUUUAUAUACGUGUGGACUCCCUAUAUGAAAACCUAAAUAAACCAGAAAAGAAAGUAGUUUUCAUAUAGGGCUAUGAUGCUUUUGUCUAACACUCACGUCACGCCAUAAUGAAAUUUUACCUCAUUAUGACGGACCAAGCACAUAGGGCUAACUAGCAUUUAUAUACAUACUAUACUCAUAACAUCCAAUAAACAUAUCCACCUCCAAUAAACAUAUGCACCGAAAAUCUCAUUUUCGGGAUCUCUCCAAAGGAGGAAAAAUUGUCAAAUAGCCGAGAAAUCAAUAAGUCUCAUCAGAAGAAAUAAAUGAUCAACAAAAUAAUUCAUUGCAUGCUUUUCAAUUAAAACAAAGGUCCACUCACAAAUUAGGCCUAAGCCUGAUGACGCUCCGAGGCUUCUUCUGCUCGGGCCUCCUCUCGUCCUGAACCAAAUAUACAAUUAAUUUCCCAACUAAAAAUCCAAUAUUUAAAUAAAAUGGGCAAAAUUAAACGUGAGCCUCCCACACACUCAUCUUUGCCCAACUUCGCCAUUCUUAACUCAAAAUGGCUCAAACUUCACCGAACAUACCGGCAGCCCUAAUUCAACCUUCCACAGAUUAUACGACUUAAAUCCAACGGCCGGAUUUUACAUUAAUUAACCGCCAAAAAUACCAAACUUCGGAAAUUCACAAACCCAUCCAAAACUCAUCCGAAAAUUCUAUAAUUCACAUCAAUAAACUCCCCUUAAUAUUCCACAUUUAAAACUAUACAAAACUCCCAAACAGCGGCGGCCGGAGGCCGAUUCCGGCGACCUCCAAUGCCUAUGAAAUUUUAACAGAAUAAUCCUCUCAUCAUGCUCUACAACUUUCCUAACUAACACAAACCUAAAAUCCAAGCCUAACUAUGCCAAUCGAACGAAAACAUCCUAAAAGCCCUAGACCUUCCACCUCGAAUUUCUCCUUACCUGAAGCGAACCGGAGUGAGUCCUUUCAGGGCAAGGCAGCUGGGUUGGAGAUCUAUAAAACCGUACAAGGCUUGCCCGGAUUUGUGGCCGGAGGAGAGAGCUCCGGGGAGAGAACCACCACGGCUUUUUGCCGUGAUAACUUGCAAACGCCGGCGGGAGAGGGGCUGUCACCAACUUAGGGCUGGAGAGGGAAGGACAGGGGCCUAAACAAGACCGGUCCGGCGGCCUGGCUCGGUCGGUCGACGGUGGCAAGAGCUGGAGAAGAACCGGAAGUGGGAGAGGUCGGGAGGAAGAGAAGAAAAAGAGAGGAGAAAAUGGGGUUUGGGCCUCACACAAACCCGGCCCAACACCACAAAUAAAACCCAACUCCACCAAUUUAACACCCCAAAACAAAAUACCCUAUUAAAAAUUACCUUUUACUAGCUAAAAUUUACCAUUUUUACCGUCGUCACAUUUUUCUCAGACGAAUAAUUCCCCGAAAAUAACUGUCCCCCAAACCUCUCUAGGGACCAAUUAAACUAUAUCUCAAUGACGGAGACGGUAAAAUUCUUAUUAUAACCGAGCUAGUAAAUAAGAUAAAAAUUUAAGGGUCGGGAUGUGAUAAUGAGAGUCUAUUGGGGGUAGUAGGAGAGUCAUAUUAGAUAAAAUCAUAACAAUCAUAAAAACGUAACCAUAGUAGCAGAAUCAAGGGAAGCAUUAUUUGGAAGUAAUUGGGCUUGAGCUUUCUUUGCUAAUCGUUUCUGAAUAUGAAGAAAUGAAUAACAAGAUUUAUAAGUAAUAGAAUAUUAUAAGAGAAGAAGAGAGAACCCAAUAGAGAGAACUACAAGCUGAGAACUCAUUCUUUGUCUUGGUUUUCAAAAAUUCAAGAAGUUAAGUUACAUGUAAUGCAAGUGAACCGUCAGGUAAGACUAACAUGCACAGAUUGAAGCCCCGUAACACAAGCACCCCAGAUCAAAUAACUUACAUAAAGAACUUUUAUUUCUUUGAAGGGACAAAAUAUUAAGGUUCUAGAUUUCUUUGCCUAAUCUAUCAUCACCAUCAUAGAUUAACAAAAGACAAAGUAUGCACACCUCAUUAGCAUUAGUCUCAUGAUCAUUAUAAAAUUCCCAAUCAACACACGAUUUCAAUCAGCAAGACCGAUCAUAGAAUUAAACUUUCUUUUCUCAAUCUCUUCACUGUACAAAAGACCAAUUCAAAUAAGAACUCAUCUUACUCACAUUUGCCACACAUCAUAUAACAUAAAAUGUAGAACAAUCUGAUUUGCAUAGACAACUACAAGUCAUGAACUACAUAGUAGGUCAGAUUCUUAAUUAUAGACAAUCACCAUGAGAUGAAACUACUGCUACUCCCAGAAAUUAUAUCUAAAUUCCAAUAGUAAAAAUUACCCAUCCCUCUCAAGUAAAUGUGCUUCAACCCCAAUCCAUGCUUGUCGCGAAUGCAGCCAGGCCUGAUUUCCAAAGUAUAAUGUCAUUCCUCUACGACAAGUCGAUGGGCGGAGCGAUCUGUCUUCUCAUCCACUUCGCUGAUCCUAAUUCGACGACGCGAUUGUAGUGGAGUCGAUGUGCAAAGUCUCCGACGAUGUCAAGUAGGUCCAGCGAGUCACUAGGCAGCGCAAUUUGCCUUUUCAUCCACUUUGCCGAUCUCAUAGCCUUCGACGACACGAUUCUGGUGGCGCCGAUGUGCAAAGUCCCCGACGAGUCAAUCAAUAGAUCCAGGAGAGAGAGAGAGAGAGAGAGAGAGAGAGAGAGAGAGAGAUCUGGACGGGAGGAGAAAAAAGAGAGUGCAAGGGUAUUUUGGACACCAAAAAUAGAUUAAAAUCUGAAAUUUUGGCUAGUGGAAUAAAGCUCUCUUAGAUAUUAUAGGGUUAGUGAGAAUUUUAGAUUCUUAUUUUGUUAGUGGGAAAAGUUUCUUAAAAAUUGGGCGGAAGGGAAUUUUCCCUUGUUUUUUUCUUUGUUGUUUGAUGUGAGAGAUUAAUUACACAAGAAAUUGGAAGAGAGAAUGAGAAGAAAAUAUCGAGAAUAAGAAGAAAAUAUCUGGAAACUAAAAUAAAUGGCAUCUAAGCCGUUGUUUACUUUUGGAUGGUUAGGAUUGCCUUAUGAGGCAAUAUGAGCAGGAAAACAUGAGUAGAGGAUCCGAGUCCCAUUUAAACACAGUUGUAGGUCCACACUAUAUCCAUUAAUUUCAUAUGUGUCUGCUAGCGCACUCUUGCACAACCUCACUUUCAAUUACCUAUAUAACCAAUAUUGCUACAACAUCCUUCCUAGGGAUGACAAUAAUCCCUAACGGGUAAGGUACCUACGGGUAUUCGAUCCUAACGAGGGAGAUAUACGGGGAUAAACGGGUGACGGGUAUGGGGAUCUUCAGUAUUCGGAUUUUUGAAUUGGGUACGGGGCGGGUAUGGUAUUUUGAUAUUCGUCCCCAUCCCCACUCAUUUAGGAUGUAAAUAUUAUUUUUUAAUAUAUAUUAUUUAUAAAUAGAUACUUAUGUAAAAUCUUUUGUAAUAUUUUUUUACUAUGAUUUUCUUAAUAAAUAUUUAUAGAAACUUCUUUUUUAACUGAGACUUGUAUUUGUUUUUGUUGGAUUGAAUCAAGAAACUGAUUUAUAUAUAUAUUUGAUUUUAUUUUCAUAUUUCUAUAUUUUGUAAUUAUUUUUUAAAAAUUAAUUAUUAAAUAAUUAAUAACGGGGAUCGGGGCAGGUAUGGGAACAAAAUCCGUAAAAAGACGGGUACGGAGAAUCCCCAUUAUUUAAUUACAGGAAAUGAGACGGGUACGGAGAUGAGAAAUAAAAAAAAGUACGGAUAUGAUAUUUUAAUCCGUUAACCCUAUCUUUUCCAUUGCCAUCCCUAGUCCUUCCAAACAGUUUUAUCACAUGGGUAGUUUCGUCGUUCCAUACUCCGCAUAUACAAUACAGCACGUGCGAGAUCCCCACGUGGUCGCCGUCAAUGACCUCUCCCCCUCCUCCCUUAUUUGGCAGCGUUAAGAGCUCUAAGACUUCACGAAAAUCUGGAACUUUCGUUGUUAGGGUUUUCAGAAAACUAAUCAACCUGUCGAUUCUCCUGAAAAUCGAAAUAUAGCUAUCGAUUUCCGGUUCGGGAAGCCGCUCUCGCUUUUUUAUUUUGUUGCUUGUUUGUUUUGGGGAAACCAAUUCAUGGUGCAGUUGAUGAGUUCCGGCGAUCUCCGCCAAACGACGCCGUGUAAGGAUAAGGUGCCGGUCAAAUUGGAGAUCGAAGACUCUUUGGAGGAGGAGCAUGGUCCCCUCAACAAGCGCUCCAGACCGUCCUUUGCUUAUCAAGAGGUUCCAUUUUUUGAUCUAUUUCGUUCUUCUCCUUGAUAUAUAAUAUAGAUCAGAAAAAUGAAAAUAGUUCAAUACCUUCUGUGAUCCUCGCUUGUAUUUUUGUUUUUGUUUUGUUUUAAAAUUGGAAUCUAAAUCAGCUUGAUAUAUUCAUGCUUGAUUUUGUAUGUUUGUGGUCCAAUAUAUAAUGUAAAGCAGCCGAAAAAAAAAUACAUGUUCAUGCUGGUUGUUUUUUAUUUCGAAUACUUCAACUGAUUUCGCGGUUGAUGUUGAACUUUAGCUUUCUUAGGCUUGUAGUUUAUUUUGUUGUAUUGCUUUUAUGGUAUAUUGUUGUAAUUAUGACUCAUUGAUCUCGGUGUUUAGUAUGAAGAUUUCGGGGUAUAGUUAUUCGACUGAUCUUUGGAUUCUACCUUAUAAAGGUUUAUGUUGAACUGUAGCUAUCUGAGGCUUUGUAGUUUGAUUUGUUGUAUUGCUUUUAUGGUGUUUCGGUGUAGUAAAAGAAUGUAUGACUCAGUGGAACUUUUUUACAAUAAUUAUUUCCAUAUAUAUGUAUUCCACUGUUUCCGUUACUUUUGGUAUAACAUUUUAAAUUUGAUAUUUUAUUGAAAUGCUCCCUUACGGUUUCUCUUGAUUUCCACAUUUCCACAGAGGUCAGGCGAUAACGGGGUUGCUGUCCCAACUUCUCAAUACAAUCCCCUAGAUGAGCCUAGCCCUUUGGGUCUGAGGCUCAGGAAGAGCCCGUCUUUAUUGGAAUUAAUUCAAAUGAAGCUUGCUCAGGGGGUUCCUCCUACAGCUGGAGCUGUACAAAGAGAAUACCUUAACUCUGGUGUUAAGAAGGAGAUUAAAGGAAAUGCUGCAGUGGGGGCUACUGAUAAGCUUAAGGCGUCAAAUUUUCCAGCUUCAAUGUUAAGGAUCGGUAACUGGGAGGUAUGUUGAAGAGUUUCUGAGUCAUUUAUAUUGGAUAUUGCGACUGCAAUAUGCUUGGCAAAUCCAUUUAUGUUUCAUUAUUUACUGGCAGUACAAAUCAAGGUAUGAGGGUGAUUUAGUGGCAAAGUGUUAUUUUGCAAAGCAUAAGCUUGUCUGGGAGGUUCUUGAAGGAGGCCUCAAGAGCAAAAUAGAAAUCCAGUGGUCAGAUAUCAUGACUCUAAAUGCAAACUGUCCUGACGAUGGACCUGGUACUUUGAAUGUUGUGGUAAUGCCUUUGAUUUCAUAUCUCUAUUUACAUGUGUGCUCAUUCUCUGGAUGAUAAAUUACUUAUUUGUAUUUUCACCUGGCAAUCCCUUUUAUGUUGCAGUUGGCUAGACAACCUCUAUUCUUCAGGGAGACCAACCCUCAGCCUAGAAAGCAUACUUUAUGGCAAGCAACAUCAGAUUUUACUGAUGGGCAAGCAAGCCUGUACAGGUAAAUUCAAUUGGUAGUUACAGUUCUGCAGUUCACUGAAGAUCUCAAAGUUAGUUUUCUGCCACUGUAGCUGUGUUGAAAUGUUUUGAAUGCUUUUACUUUUAGGUCUUCAUGUAUUUAAGGUUAUAGGUUAUUUCUCCACUGCACCUAUGAAAAAUUGAAUUAUUUUUAUUUCUUCCAAUUUAAACAAUUCUGAUGAUCUUUAUUGUUCACUGCUGGUGUCACAUGGUUUUGCUUUCUGUGUUUGACAUGGAGCUGAAAAAUUAACUUAUAUGAUUAAUACAUGUUCUAUCAGUCUUUAUGAAGUUGCAGUAUGAAAUUUAGGAUGCUGUUAUAUUGAUCCAAUUUCUUUGGGAUUGUGUUUUGCAGGCAACAUUUUCUGCAAUGUCCACAAGGACUGUUAAACAAGCAUUUUGAAAAGCUCAUCCAGUGCGAUACACGUCUUUGCUUCUUAAGUCGGCAGCCAGAGAUCGUUUUGGAUUCACCUUAUUUUGAACUGCGGCCUUCUGUAUUUGAAGACCAAGGUGAAGCCAAGGGCCAUGGUUUUGACCAACUGGCAAGUGGUAAAGGUCCCUCCAUUUCUGGUUUCCAGGAUAUAUCAUCACCAUCUGCAAGUCAGUCAUCAUCUUUGAAGACAGACCCGCAGGACUCAGCUGGUAUGACAUUAGAGCAUCGGUCCAGAGAAGCUCCUUCCCCUAGCUCAGGUAUGAUAACCUAGCAUUUGUUUCUAUGAUUGAGGUUACCUUUAAUUCCUGUUUCUGUAAAUAUAAGUACUAUGUUCUGUAAAUUUGUUCACAUUGUUUCUUUAAUUUUUAUGACAUACUUGAUGGUGCAAUUAGAUAGGUUAUAUUGGGAUGGUUUCCUGGGUAUCUAUUUAGGAUACUAAUACCGCUUUUAGUUCACAAUCGAGGAAUCCAUAGAUUUCAGAUUCCAGAUAGGCUGUUAAAAUCAGCAAGGAAUGUCUGUCAAUGUCAGAAAAUUUUAGCAACAAGGCUAGGAGAAACUCUCAUGGCUAUAAUUUAAUCUUGAAAUGCUGGGUACUUGAUUGUUUAGAUGUAGUGAAGAUUGACGCUCUGUAUGAUCAAAGUCUAUUAAAUGCAGGGGCAGAGGCAGGAUUAUAAAUUAACAGGGGUGGGGGGUGGGGGGUUUUAGUAAUUAACUUUUUAAACCGAAAAAAAAUGAAAUUUGGAAUUCAUAUAUAUAGAGAAAUAUAUUAGUUCAUCGAUUACAACAUAUUUGUACAUUAUAGUGAGAAAAAAGAAAUUAUUCAUUAUGGAAUUGAUUAUGAAUAAAGUAUAUUGCAAGAGAUGAUUAAGGUAGGAUAUAAAUUGUAUAAAUCAAACCUAUUAACAAUAAAUGGUGCUUAAUUAUGGUUUAUUGGGGGGCCAAACCUUAUAAAUUACAAAGCCUCCACUUCAAUUAUAUUAAACCUCAAGUAUAAUACACAAGUUUAAAAAAAAUUAUGGGGGGUGCCAUCGCACUCCUUUGUAUGCUAGAUCAUGUUUUCCUUGUUAUUGCAUGAUAUAUUACUUGCAUGACAAUAAAGGCUGCAAUAGAUUCAUGGCUGGAUGAUUUGUCAGUCUGACAGGGCUCCUGUCACUGUACAGAGAAAACUUCUGUGCACUAAUGAUUUGGACUAGCUUUGCAUAACUAAUGUCUGUGACAUUGAUAUAUUUAUAGUGUGAGUGUGUGUGCUGAAUUCUUAAGUUGAUCAAUAUCUGUACAUAUUUGGUUAUGAUAUCUUGUAUUGAUGAUACAAGAUGUUGACCCCAAAAAAAGACAAGAUAGUUACUAGUCUUUGUGUUGUUAUGAGAAAUUUUAUUCACAUACCACCAAAUACUUAAUACACAUCCUAUUUUUUAUAAAUUCAACAGUAUAAUCUCGGAGUAUAUUAAAUUACCAAAAGAGACAUUACUUACUUUUGAUACUUUCUUCUCCUCUUAUAAUUGUAUGUUUGUCAAUCAUGAACAUUGAUCGUUCAAAAUAAAAUCAGCAAAUAACAUUAUGAUUCCUAUAUAACUAUAUUAGUGUUUCUCAACCAUCAUCAUUUGAGUAUCUUUCUCAAAUAAGGAAAAAAAAAAAAACCUUCAAUAGAGUAUUAAUCUCGACAUCAUUUUGAGAAGGAUUCAGUCUCGAAGCCAAGUCUUCUUUUUCAGCCAUGGAAGGUAUGGAUACAGAACAUCUCAAUUAAACCAAGUUGUUCUUACCUUGUACUAGUAGUUAAUAACUAUAGAGGGGUGUGUACAGUUGGGUCUUGCCCAACGGAAAACAUGGGAAGUACAACAUAAAGAUUAGCCAGGUUCUUCAUCUGUAGAAUUCCUAAAGAUGGUGAGAGGAUGUAGCCAAUUAAGCUUUCAACUUAUAAUAAGGUUCAACAUUAGUUAUCUCUGAAUUGGUGAACUUAUCAAUUGAUCAAGAUCAAGUAGAAAGGGUAUAUGUUUGUUGGAGCCAAAGAGAUUAAGAAAACACAGAUCAAUGAACAAGGAGGGGGCUGCAACAACUCAGAGUAACAGUAUUGAAUUAUAAAAGGGAUAUAUUGUUGUGCUUUUUUAUUAAAGUUAAAAGCAUAAGAACAUAAUAAGUACUGAAGCUUUGAGGGAGGAAAAUGGUCUCGUCAAGUUUCUAGACCCGAAUUGUAAGAGUUUGGUCGCCUAGGAAGCUAUAUGAAAUUAGGAUGUGUAUUUAAUGAAUAUGUGUGGCAUUUUGUGAAUUAGGGUAAUUUAGGAAGUUUAAGGUUGUGUAUAUAGUAAAAUGUUAAAGUAAAAAAGUUAUUAAGUGGUGUAUUAAGUAGAGGAUGUGUAUCUAGUAUGUAGCAAUGUGUUAUUUUUGUGCCACCCAAGAUCAAUGCUAAAUAUUUUGAUUUUGGGCAUGUUAGAAUCUUGCAUUUAAAGUCGUGGAGUCAUGCUUUAUUUUAAGAUUGUGCUGAAACUGGUUAGGGCAGUGAUUGAAGGGAUCUGCCUUUUAUUCUAGGAUUACACUGUUAUGCUUGGUUGUACAAAGUGAGACGUUUAUUUAAAAUUAAGCAUGAAUGCAUGUGUUUGGUGGACACUGACUCAUUGGUUGCCUUUAUCAUACUAGUUAUGGAUGCUCGUGCAAUUGAAGGAAAUGGCAAUUCUGAAGUUGUUGAUUCAAGAGGGCCAAGAAAUUGGGAACAGAUAAAAGUGCCUGGGCUGCAUCCUUCAAUGUCGAUGAGUGAUUUUAUGAGUCACAUUGGGAACUGUAUUUCAGAACAAAUGACUUCUGGAAAUCCGCCUUCUGCCGAUCAACAGUCAGAAUACCAGGAUAUUCUGGAGGACAUUGCGCAGUACCUGUUGAGUGACACUCAAUUAACUGCUGCAGAUGAGAGUCAUGAAACAUCUCUCAUGUCCAGGGUCAAUUCUCUAUGUUGCCUUUUGCAGAAGGACCCCGCUUCUCUCCAGAAUUCACAGAUUGAAGUUGAAGAAACAGAUGGUGGAAGAGAUAUUCAUCCUAACCAAACUCCUGUUGGUACAUCGGGAACUCAUAUGCAGGCUCCUGAAGAGGAUAUGAAGGAUGUUUCUGGGGGGAAGAAGGCACCAGGCAUGUCGAGAAAAGACUCCUUCGGGGAAUUGCUAUUUCAUCUCCCUCGCAUCGCCUCUCUUCCCUCGCUUCCGAAAGUCUUGUUCAACAUUUCGGAAGAUUGUGAGAGUCAAGGUAGAUAGUCAUUUUUCUCCAAAGAACAAAUCCUAAUGCGAGCUGAAAUACUCAUCCGCACCCUCCAAAUUUCUCCUCAGUGUACACAGUGAAUAAUGCUGGCUAUUUCAUACUAUUGUCCGUCACCAAAAGCUUGUAUUAUGUUGGGAGACUGGGAUUCUGAAAUUUGUGUUGAUGAAGAAUCCGGAAAGAUUUCCCACUGUACAAAUGACUGUACAUCAUGGUUAGUGUUGUUUGGUUCCCUUCAUGCCGUAUGACCAGCUUAAGGCACCUGUUUGUAAAGUCUGUUGACUAUUUAAGAAAAAAUUUCAGUUUACCUCCCUAAUAUUUGGUGGUAAAAUCAAUUCAGUCUUGUAACUUUUUUUUAAAUCAGUUCGCCCCUUCAACUUUCAUAAACACAUCAGUUUACUUUUUUUUAAAAUCAGUUCGCCUCUUCAAUUUUUGUAAACACAUCAGUUUUGUCUAAUUUUUGAAUUUCUCUUAAAAUAUGACGUCACCAAACUGACAAGGGGACCUAUUUUUAACAAAAAGUUGCAGAACUAAACUGAUUUUCACAUCAAAGAUUAGGGAUAAACUGAAUUUUAAAAAAAGUUAAAGGGGCGAACUGAUUUUAAAAAAAGUUACAGGACUGAACUGAUUUUGACAUAAAAAAUUAAGGAAGUAAACUGAAUUUAAUUCACUAUUUAAAUAUGAAUGAAAGUUUUAGUUAUUCAGCUUGAUUACAAUUCCAGAAGAAUAGGAACUUUCCAGAACCAAUUGUUACUUUUCUUUUUAGAAAUAUAGUUUCCUUGUUGAAAACAGUUUUUUUUUUUUGUUCCUGAUUUUGUAAUGUUUAGCAGACCAGAUAGUAAGAUGAUGAGCUGAAGGAUAAGAGUGAAGAAGAAAUUGAUGGUAGUUUUUAGAAUUGUUUCCCUGCAUAACUCAUGCCAUACAAUACUCUACAAAAUCGGCAAACCUUGCUUCCUCCUAUAGCCCAAAGAGACAAAAAGCCAAGGGGUACAGUGAGUCAAUGGGGGUGGACGAGGUCAUGAUUAGGGCUGAGGAUGGGACGGGAUUAGGGUCAUCCCACGGCCGUCCCGAACAUUGCACACGGGACGGGAUCAGGACGGGUCUUACGUUUUUAAGACUUGAUCCCACCCAAGUCUCGUCCCAAACGGGACCGGGACGGGACAGGCCCAAUCCUGCUAUCCCGGCCCAAUAUCAAAAGCCCAAACUAGAAAAUAAAAAAAGAAGAAAGAAAUUUGGUGACGUGACAGAGAUACACAUAUAUAACCUAGUUCUACAUCAAUUAGACAAUUACUCAAUUACAUAACCUGAGUAGCUGAUAGUGAUACCAAUAAAGAUUACAUAACCUGCAUUCAGCCAUUCACAAUAAACUUAUUCAACUUUAUAAAUAAUCAAGCAAGAGAGUGAAGCUUCUUUGAAUACACAUGUUGAAUACACACAUAUAGAUAAUCACAUGCAGCAUUACAUUCAUAACAGUAAAGAUAGUUCUGAAAAUACAUAUCCAAAUAUUCUGAAAAUACAUAUCCAACUUUAUAAAUAAUCAAGCAAAUAAAGUUCUAGACACAUCAACACAAUAUUCAAACGAACUCUAUUUUGGUUUCAUACAUUAUUGAAUGUAAUAUCCACAGCUAAAUUAUAAAGUUGAAUGAAUUCUACCUAUCUGCUAGCAUACAAUUCCAAACAGAAGAUCCAACUCCAUUACUCCACAACAAAACUAACAUAGAAUCCUAAACAUUUCUAACAUUUAAGAGGGUGGAAAUAACUGAUGGAAUGUACAACAACUUAUCAACAGGAGUAAAUCUACAAAGCAAAAAUUAUAUGAAUACGAAGAAGAACAGCAACAAGGCAAACUGCCCCUGAAGUGAUGUUAAAACUAUAUCUUUGCACCUAGACAUGUAGCAAGAAACAAUUUAGAUGAUCAAGGAAUAGAUAAAAAAGGGAUAUAGUCUUGUUAUCCUAGCUAAAGGAAUCAGUCGAAUCACAAGUUAAGAAAUCAAAUGGUAAAAUGCAAGAUUAAGAGAUAUUGAACAAGAUAACACCCAAUAACUUUAUCUAGCAAUCACUAAACUGUUUUCAUAGCAUUAGAAUACAUGCACCCAAAUGGAAGGUACCAGGGAACAAUGACAGAAGAAGACAUCACAAAUUCAACAAUCUACCAGGGAACAAAUACAGAAGUCCUCAAGUCGUUGGAAGUCGUGAAAUUUUUAGCACUGCUGCUAUCAGUAAACUUUGCAGAAUCGGGCGGUGAGGAAGCGAAAUCGGGCGAGGAGGAAGCAAGCGGUGAGGUUAGUGGAGGUGAGGAGGAAGCGGGCGCCGAGGCGAGGAGGAAUCGGGCGGUGAGGUUAGCGGAGGCGGUGGAGGAGUUCAAGGAGAACUUCGGCGGAGUGGGAUUGAGGUUUGGCUGGAUUGGGAUUUGGGGUUCAUACUGCUUCAGAUUAGUCUAUAUUUUACACGGGACGGGCCUGAUGGGCCUAAAUUUUUCAAUCUCGCGUCCCGUCCCAUUGUUUCUCUACAAGACGGGACGGGACGGGCUUAGUGUUUUUAGACUUAGAUCGCGUCCCAUCCCGUCAAAUUUCGGGACGGAUUUGGACGGGACCAAGAUUUAGGUUUUUUAUGCCCACUCUUAGUCAUGAUCAUUGAUCGUGGUGGGUGAUCCAAGUCGGUGGAUGAGGUGAUUGGUGCUGGUUUUAAUUCGUUGAUUAACAAAUGAUGGUGGUAGAAUGGCUGGGCGGGUGGGACGGCUUUCUACUAAAAGCAAGAGGCGUUGCCGGUCGUUGGAGCAGAGGUGACAAUGUUAGCUGGUUGGGCAAGGCAGAUUACUGGCAGUGGUCAUUUGUCUUGUGGAUCCUCUAUUUGAGGGCUAUGUUGCACGGACACUUUACGCCUAGACACUCUGACACGUCGACAUAGAGCCCGACAAGGUAAAAUCCGUGUCCGACACGCCAUGUGGUGUGUCUAAAAAAAUUAACUUUUUAGACACGCUGUGGACACGUUGACUAGCUCCGACACGCCACGUCAGUAUUUAUUUCAGAGUUAAAAAAAAUAAAAAUAAAAAUAUUAGCUAACUGGCCUGGGGCACGCGCAGCACUAGCAGAGACAGAUUCGAUCUCUUGACUCCUCUCUCCUCUGAGUCCUCUCUCAGCCGAGUGCCGACUCUUCUCUCCUCUCUCUGCUGAGUACCGAUUCGAUUCCGAUUCGAAGAAGACGUUCGCCGGUCGCCACCCAUUCGAUCUGUUCGCCUCGCCAGUCCGCCACCCAUUCGAUCUCUUCACUGAUCUGAUCUCUUCUCUCUGCCGUCCGCCGUUGCCGCCGUCGCUGUCAUCGCGGUCGUCGCAGUUGCUAAGGUUGCUCUCUUAUGCACCUAAAACCUUGAGGCCUCUCUCUUAUGCCCAGAGCUACGGUUUCAGUUCACUUUCCACCGCCAAGAAAUUGCUUCAAUUCCAAGGUAGGUUCUUUACUAUCAAGCUUUGAUAUUUUGUGGGUCUGGGUUGGUUUUGUGUGUUGGGUAAUCUGUGUUGGACCAAAAUUGGAACUUUUUGUAUUGCUUUGAUGCCAAAUUUGUAUUAGAGACAAGUGUGGUUGCAGCUUGGUUUGUUUGAAUUAAGUGACUAAGUUAUAUUUGAUAGUUGGGAAGAUAUUGAAGUAGAAGUGAUAAUGUUUGAAAUAUAAGUAGGAGAGGAGGAUGACAUAGUAUGGUUUUUAAGCCAGAAAGGUUGGAUUUUUAUGGUGUUUUGGGGGGUGAAUUCAUGUGCCAAAUGCGGCAGAAGAUUGGAUGAUAAGGUUUUGUUCAGGGAAAGAAAAUCAUAGCAUAUUUUUAUAUCUGAAAAAGUGAAGCUUUGGGAGGGAACAUGGGUUUAGAACUCAUGCAUAUGGAGUUAUUGUCUCUUUGGGUCAAAAUCGAAGAGGAACUAAGCAAAUGAUAAGGAAUGAAUCUAGUGUAAAAAUUAAGAAUAGUGAUGAUGGAAAGAAGUUCUGCACAUUUGAAAGUAGUCCCAGUAUCAGUUUACCCAAUCUUGCUGGAAAAUCAUCCUACUUCCUGUGCAGCUUCAGCAGGGCAUAAUAUGGCUGAAUUUCUUGGACUUAAGUAGGUACUUACUUUGAGUCGUUGAAUAUUUUUGAGAAAUAAGCUCAUCUAUCAAUCAAGUGUACUAUGGUCAGCAAAAAUUAAUUACAAGAAAAUGAAAUUUAAAUCUCCCCCUCUCGUUUUCUCUAAGAGGAUAAACUUUAUCUUCUUGUCUAUUAGGUUCUGCUGUGCUAGAGAGCUAGUUGAUGAUGAGAAGGAGUCUUGAAGAUGAGAGGUAAAUUUUCUAUUCAUUUUAUAUUAGAUCAAUUAGGGAAUAACAAGUUUGGAUGGAUUAUGGAUAUGAUAAUUAUAUUAGUUCAUCUUUUUGUCUAUUAGGUGCUGCUGUACUAGAGAUUACCCUUUUUGAAAACAAGUUACUGCUCAAGUUUGUUUUUCUUUAAUGUUAUGUUCUAGGUGCUCCUUUGGUAUUAGUUAUGCACUUAACUUAUUUCUUAUGGUUAUGAAAUAGAUUGAAUUUAGAACUUUAUUUGGUAAUAUAAUGAACUUAUUUCAUAUUUUAGUUUUUUUUAUCUAUUAAAAAUACAUAAAUAUAUAAUUCUAUUUGCCGUGUCCAAGCCGUGUUGGAAACUCAGUUUUUGAGUUUUGCCGUGUAGCCAUGUCGUGCCGUGUCGUGUCACCGUAUCCGUGUCCGUGUCCGUGCAACAUAGCUUGGGGGCAAUGUUGGUUUUUGCUGUGCUUCUUGCAAGUCUUCUUUUGUUGUGCUUCUUGCAAGUCUUCCUUUGUUUUCGUUUGGUUCUAACCAUGUCAAAUAGAUUUCAGUCUUCUUUUUUUUCCAAGAUAACGGACUACAGUCUUUAUCAGCUUAGUUCCUAGUUAUUCUAGCUAUACACCAAUUCCGUUUCUAGGCGAGUAGUUUUACUAUGAAAGGGAGUUCGUGAGUUUUCAGUGAUUUGAUUUUUAGGCUCCAAUAGGCGAGCUCAUUUGAAUGCAGUAAUGGUUACUUGUAACUUAGUUUGGUACCCUGUGGAGUGGCGUAGCCAGAAACCAGAACUAGAAUGGUCAAGAGUUUAAACAAUAAUGUCACACAAAAUAAAAACACAAUCUUUAUUAAAUGGUAGAAUGGUAGGACUUUUCAUCAAAUAAUGUCUUCGCACUCGAUCUCGAACAUUAGGAUCGUAGUCUAAAAUUGGAGUCCGAAGUCCCGGAUCUCCAGGAAAGUUCUCUAUGUUAAACUCGUUGACAUAAUGGUUUGACGUACCAAUAUCUUCAAAUGCAUUACUUGUACCAAUAUCUUCAUAUGUAUUACUUGUCGGGUGAGCUUGAUAUGGUGCUAAUGGAUUUGUCAAGUUUGCUUCUUCUAGAUGAUGUUCCGAAGUACCUUCGUUAAAUCUGUUUAUUUUUGGAGGAGCUUUAGAUUGUGCCAAUUGAUCAGCUGUUUUUCUCGUACCAUAUUUUUUGAAUAAAGCUAAAGCUUCCAUAAUUAGGUCAACAUGGAAAAGAAAAAAAAACGAAAAGAAACGAUUAAAACUGUUUUAAUUGAUUAGGAAAACAUAUUAGAAAGACAAAAAAUGUUAGGAAUAUGUUUGAAUUGCAAUAUCAGAGGAAGAAGAAAUCAAUCAGUGAUAAGGAUUAAGAGUCUAUAUUAAAAAAAUAAAGAGACCCACGUGAAUAUCAGUUGAACUCCUUUAACUAAAUUGGAUUAUUUAUGACAAACUCUUUUUUUUAUGGUUAGGAUGGUCAACUUUACUGACAACGUCACAUUCUAUUGACCAAUCAUAUAACAAUAUAGCUUAAUAUGGAAAUUGAGAGGCGUCAGUUGAAUCCUAUAACUACUACGCCUCUGGCUGUGGUCAUAUAUCUGACCAAAGACAAUUAUUGAUGUACAUGCUUAGAAAAAAAAAAAAAUACCAUCUUACACAGCAUAUCAAAAACUAAAAUAAAAAAAGAUCAUAGAUACUAUGCAUUCCUUUAGCAUCUGGAUUAGAAAUGCAAUGCGUGUACAAAUUUGGGCUAUAAUCAAAGAGCUUGCAACAAGGUAUCAAAUCCCCGGAAGCUAUAUAGUGUGCUGAAGAACGUAUGUUAGAUUACCCGGAGUGAACUAACGAGCAUAGUUCCAGUAGGUAACGAUCUUGAAGCUGAAUAAUAUUUCCAUUAUUUACAAGUUCAUUGAGAUUAUAUACAUACGGGCAACAAUGGGAGCGAAGACAAUUCUAUUGGGAACAUCAGCUGUACGGAAAAGAGAUUUAGUUCCAAAUUCCCAGAAAAAGGAAAGGGAAUAUACUGUUAAAUGCAAUGAUUAUAUAUGUACACUUGAAAUUCUUCCAUCACGUCAAUCUGCCUAAAACAGGGAUCAGGAAGGAGGUGGUGAAUGAAUGGUGUCAGGUAACAUGGCUACUGUCACUACGAAGUAUUCACAGCCAAUAGGGAGACCGUAUGGGUUCGAUCCUGAAUUCAAGGCCAACUGGUCAGUCCCUGUGUCAGAUGUUAGCUCAUGCUCAAGCCGAAUUGGAAUAGCCGAUGGCUUCACAAUCUGGCGUUCAAUAUGCACAAUUUGUCCAACAAUAUAGUUAGGUUGACGUGGGAGAUGAUCUGUAAAUAGGGCAACAGAUUCAGCAGAGAGAUAGUAGUUAGAGCAAUUUCGAUUGAUCGCCUCGUAAUGCCCAGUGGCAUUGAGAACAAAUGCAGCUAUCUCAUGGACUUCCAUACGGCCAAAAGAAAUCUUCUCCUUGUUUGCCUGCAGAAAUAUUGGAAGUAGAACACCACUUGUUAACAUACCAUUCAGGUAAGAAGUAACAAUUUUACAGAUAUGUAUAAUUACAUAGUUAGACAGAGUAUGCAACAGAACCCAACUAAAAGUUGAUCAAAUGUGAGUUCAUGAUAAACCAUGAAACUAAAGGGUCUAUCACUUCCGAUGUAACCAAAUGGGGGGUUUUUACAAUUCUUAUUAUUAUAAGAAAAUUACACUAAUCGAAAUAUUAAGUUACCUGUUUCUCAAGUUGAUGCUUUGUGUACAAUGUUUUAACCAGAUCCUUCUUCUCUUCCAAUUCUUUUCUAAGCUGUUCAUUUGCAGCUUCGACCUUUGGAUACUUGUCGAGCAGCCCUUCACGGUGCCUUGACAAGAAACCAACUCUAUCAGCGAGGACCCGGAUACACUUCCGAAACUCAAGGGUACCAUCAUCUUCAUUGUCAUUAAUAGAGCUGAAACAUAACAAAGCCAAAACCACCUCCAUUGUCAACAAUACAGCUAAAUAUUCAUGGGACAGAACAGAAGUUAGAUAUAUUCUUUUCAUUUCCUUCAGUUUAAAAAAAUGCAAAUAGGGUUAAAAAAACCUUCAGAAGGCAGAGAAAGGUCGGAGGCAUGUAUUGUUCGACAAAGCAAUACUGAUAGUAAUAGAAUUUGUUAAAGGGAGAUAAAACUUGUGCAUGGCAGAACUUACUUUCCCAGAGAUUGUGCUAAACCACGCAAAGAAUCAACGAAACUAGUCAUUCCCUGUGCAUUAACACAGCUGCGAAGCCUUUCAAAAAGGCCACGCAUUUUCACAGCAGAUGCUCGCAGGGCACUGUACUCUGAGGCCCUACGAUCAGCGGCACAAAGAUGAGUUUGCGCUUCCUCUCUUGCUUCAUGCAAACAAUUCUCCAAGUGAGCACAAUUCAUCUGGCAAGUACAACAAUAAAUACAUAAUUAGAACAUAAAGGUUAUCAUCAAGUGAUAAAACUAUAAGACAAAGUGCAAGUGAUUAACAGAAGCAUCGAUAACUAAACCAGACACUAGGGCAGGCAUUCAUCCAAUUAAAGAGAAAAGACGAAAUUGAUGAUUUCACCAACCAAGAAGAAAAUUGAGGAUUGUUAUGACAAGAGUACAAAACAAACAGUGUAAGUCACCUACUAUUUAAUUUCUGUCGUGUCUUAAGUUUUCAAGACCUCACACUAUUAAGUUUUUGAAUGGCCACGAAGUUCCAUCAGAUAAGGUGUGUAAAAUGUCUUACACUAGGGUCAUGUUUCUUCUAUGAAAACUCGAGGCCAUUUGCUAUAACUACUCUGCCAAAUUUUAUUGGAUAAUAGUAUCUGUAAAUGAGAAACAGUGUUCAAAUAUUUAUGUCGUAAGCGUUCAGACUCAAAAUACUGGUUAUAGGUUAUAUAAUGUUCUCUAUUUCUUUUCCGUUGUGAAACACUUUAAAAACUAUUAUAAUCAACGAAUACUUGUUAUAUGAAACUAUGAAUAAUGAUCAAUCAACCCUCACCCUAGAUAAUCUGAGGCAAUAUAAACAUAUGCAUAACUUUUCAAAAAAAAAAAGAAAGUAUACAUGUGCAUAAAUGUAAGUUCCUCUUUCUGGGAAAAAAAACACAGGUAACAUAAUCUAGCACUUUCAACCGUAGCAUAGCAUAGGGCAAGUGAAACUAGCAAGUGAAUGGUAUUAAACGACACUUACUAAACAACCAAAAAAAAACCACAGGUGCCUUGUAGUCUCAACUAUAGAAAUGUUAUCAAAUCCAAUCAGUAUAGAAAACAAAAAUCUUUACGACUCCAAACUCACAAGAAUGAAACAACGAAUAAAUAAAGGGGAAGAAGCCGUGACAUCCAAGCAAAUAUGCUUAACUACAGAAUAUGUUUCAACAGACAAAGAGACAAUGGGAAGGACUGAAAUUGCAAAGGAAGAAAUUAAGAGUAGUAAGAUGUUACAAUACCUGAGAUUCAUCAAGGAGCUUCCUAUUUGUGUCCAAUUCCCGCUUAAGCAUGGCAACAUCCUCCAUAGCAGUUUUAAGCUUGAUUUCUGUUUCAUUCAACUGGUUUGACUUGUUUUUCAGUAGAGUUUCCAAUUCCAACAACAGCUCAGUACUGACUCUAGUGCCAUAGCCUGGGUCAACUGCUGUUUCACUAGGAGACACAUUCAGAUGUUCAGGCAUGCUUUCAGCAGUAGAACUGUGUGUCAGUGACAUGCCCAGCUGCCCCAUUAUUUUUUCUUUGCCAUCUUUACCACUGCCUAGCAGUUCUUCACGACUUAGCUCUUGCAUUGAUGAAUCCAGUUGAUGAUUAUGUACUGCAGAAGAGUCCAUCAUAUUUUCAUCAGCCCCAUCUCGCAUUUUAUCAGCUCGUGCAUUGAAAAGACCCAAUUUGGCAUCCAAAGAAUUUGAGAUGCAUGAGACCUCAUCCAUGGGCUCAGUAUUAGAUAAGCAAGGCGUGCGGGCUUCUCCACUACCUAAUACUUGCUUGCAGUCAUCAACCUUAUCAGACAAAAGGGUGAACUUAGAGGCAUCCUUAUCAUUUGAAAGCUUCUGACCUUGCAAAUACUGAUCAGAUAGUCUCUGUUCCAAUUCUUGAAUGCGUUUCUCAUACGAAAGACACUGCAGCUGCUUCGUCCUAAGCAUAGAUUGCAAAUGCUUUCCAUACUCAUCUUUGAGGUGCAAGGCUUCAGCUGUUUUCGCUGCAGCAUCCUUCAAUAAAUUAUCUGUUUUACUGUCAUUCAAUGAUUCAAAGUCCGCGUCAGGCCAGAAUGAACAAAUCAAAGCUAUUGCAGAAGCCAGUUCAGCUUUCAGUUUUGCAUUCUCAACUUCCAACUUACUAGUUCCAGCAAUCUCUACUAAUUCACAGCCUUCAAGUAGCUCCUCAGAGUCACAUUUCUCAAGGUCAUCUAAUGUAAGCUCCUCAGCCUCUGCAGAAUGACUGCUCUCAUUAGACAUAGAAAAUGAACCUCUAAAAGAACCCUUAGAAGACAGUCCUGUCAGGUACUCAGGUGCAUAACGGUCCAGGUCUGAAAUGUCAACAUCAAGUAAACCAGUAUCAAAGGGAGCUAUAUUGACAUCACAGUGAUUGGGGGUAUCAUAUAAACCCAUAGAUGCUAAUACAUCCCUGGGUAUGAACGAACUAUGAACUUUCAGAAACUCUUCCCGUCUCCUGACCUCAGCCUCCCUCUUUGUUGCAAGCCUCUCAGCUAACUGUCCAGCCAUGCCCAUGUAGAGCUUUAGGGAAGCCUUUCUUCUUACUAUCUCUGCUAGGCAGGCUCUAUAUGCUGGGCCAAUCCCACGAACCAACUUGAUUUCAAAAAACAAAUCAUCCUGGCGCACCAUUGCCUCUUUAAAAACAGGAAACUGUAACUUCGCAUCUUUGAUGAUAUAAGAGAUAUAUGUUAUCUUUUGCAUAUAAUUAUGAAGAAACAUGUUCAUUUCAUUCUUUUUGUCCUUGCAAAAGUCAAGUAGCUUGGAAAUUGCAUUAUCACAAGCCUGCAUCCUAGGCAGGUGAUUUUUGUCAUGGACAUCAUACAUAGGGCCCAAGGCUGAAACCGCAUCAUGAGGACGAAGUGAGGAAGACAUUUGUGAAGACAAGCAGUCAUCCACAAGCUUCUUGACAGUAUUCACAUCUUUGCUGCAUAGACGAAAAUCGUUAACCAUAUAAACGACAUCAAAAAAUUCAAGUCAAAUAUUUAUGUAUUUCACAUCAGUAGCCGAGAUAAAGACACAUAUGUUAUACGAACUCUCAAGUCAACCCCACUAAAUAGUAGUUUUAGCUUUAUCCCAAAACACAUUCUUUAGUUGAAGGGAUAUGAUCUGGUUCUAUUCUGAUCAGGCUCCACAAGUUCACAACAGUAAAUAGUAUGACAAUUUAUUAUCCUUCUCUCAGGGUUGAUGUAUCUGUCUCAAAGAUAUAAACACACAAAAGGAAUUUCUUACAGAAAAACAAGGGGAGGAUAAAAAUUUAAGAAGACCACAAAAAAAAAAAAAAAAAAAAAAUACUAACAGAUGACUCUAUGUGAUCUUCUACAAUAACAAAGCAUGCGUUCAAUCAUCAACCUUCGCUUAUCUGAUAUAAAUCAGAAAAAGAUAACUAUCUUCCAUUCACAUUAUCACUUUCCUCAAGCUUUAAUAGUGUGAGCCUUGAGCUUUAAAAACGUGAACGGAAAAGACAAAUCUUUUUAAAGGUUCCUUUUGUUCAAGAAUCUAUGUUGUGUCAUCUCAUUUCUUGAAACAUCAUAAGAAUUGAAUGCAUUACGUUCCAGGAAUGUUUCAAAGUUUAAUUUAGGAAAAAACCCAGCCUUCUGAUUUUGGAAGCAACACAUGAACCGUACUAUUCAGGUCUAUACUGGUAAUAAGAAAUACAAAACCCACAAAUGCUCAUAUAGCUGGGAUUCGUAUCUUCACUACCCCCCUUUCUUUUCAAUUUAUCUUCCUUGCUUACAUCACACUGCCCUAAGUAGGCAUCUAAGUAAAUUUAUAUAGCGGAACUCCUAAUAAAAUCUCUGCACAACAUAAGCCCUUUAUCUAGCUUCAACAAAUGCUAAUGUAUACUCUUCAAUCUGGUUCUUUAAAUAAGGAUCCACAUCAUCUGACAAACAAAUGCAGAAGUAACAAAAUCUGUUUCGGGUAGGCCCUGAAAAGAGAAGGAUUGAACUUGCAUGUCUUCAUACAGUGAAGAAGCAGUACAUAUCUUGCAGGCAACAAAACAUGACUACAAAACCAGAAAAAUCAUAGUAAAUUAAACCAAUGUCCGUGUCUGCAAGGAUAACAGAAAAGUAAUCCUCAUGUGUGAACUUCCAAACUAAAUCUAGAAUCACCCCCUUAAAGUUAUAAACCUGACAUACAGAGCAUAAGACAUAAACUUGCAUAACUCAUGGAACAAUGUUGCUGACCACUGUAAAAUUCAAAGACAUUAAAGACCCGAAACAAUUUAUGGAUCUCCCAACAAUUCAUAAAAAGAAAUUGGAUGCAGACAGACAACCAGAAAGACAAUAUUUGGCAAUAUUUGAAAGGAAACUAACCUCAAUGACUGCAUUAUACUCUUCUGCUCAUUAAGAUAUCGUUGGUGCUCCUUAAUUGUCAAUUCCAAAUUCCUAAUAGGCAAAGAUGCCAUGUUAGAAAACAGUUCCUCAACUUUUCGCUUCACCUCACUAAACAUCUGCUUGAACUGUGAAACCUUAUUCUCAAACUGUUUAUGGGAACUGGUACAAUUCUCCCUCACUUUCCUCAGAUUCUCUUCCUUUACAAAAUCCGAUAAGCAUUUACGGUUAACAGUUUGUAAUGCAGGAUGAAGCUUGAUGGAUCUCAGUUUUUCUACAUCCCUCCCAAGGUUCACCAAAAGAUCAGAAUGAAUCCGAUGUUGUUGUGAAUAUCGCUUCAUGAAUUCUGUAUAGUUCUGGUUUAUCAUCCUAUAAUAUUGAUCCAAAUUACCCUUGGCAACCUCCACCGCCCUCUGUUGAACCUUUUGCUCCCUCAGAAGCCUUUCACAAUUCUCAUAUUUCACUUGGGUUCGACUGUAAAUUGCAUGACCCUUGUGGUAAUGAAACCUGAAUUCCCUUUCAUAAGAAGGUAAGGCUUUCAAAGCAGGAUCUGAAGCGUCAUCCAGAGCAUGACGAUCAUGUGAAGCCGAGGGUGAUCUGGGUUCAGCGAUGUCAAGAAUAUCAACAUGCUCAACAGGAGGAGGGGAAGAAUUUGGUUGCAGCCUUGCUUUAUUGAAUAUGAACACAUCCUGGCCAUCAGCUGGAAGCUUAUAAGCAGAAAGUGGCCGCUGUGGCUCAAGCUUCAUAUCCAAACACAGAACAAGCUGGUCAUUGAUAUUGAUAUCAGACAGUGAUUCAAUAUACCGCAUAACUGCCUCUACAGAUGUGGUUUCUUCACAAUCAAGCUCAAAUGAGUGCCCAUUUUCAGCAAUAUGCACCAAAAGCUUACCCUCAUGAACCAAACCCCCAGUGCUACUUGAACUCAUCUUAUCCAAAUCUCCACCACAAGCGCCCCCAGGCAACCCUAUCAAACAGCCACUACCACCUUAGUCAGAUAAAGUAAUUUCUUCCCCCACAACCACAACCAACCACUUCAAUUCAACCCCUCUAAAAUAUCUGACCCAAAUCAAAAUUCCCCAAAUUAUCACAAACCCACCGCCGAGCUUCGCAAACUUGACACAAUUCUGGGCAACCCACCUUGUAUUCGAACGAAACACCAAUGAUUACCCAGAACUUAUAAAGAAACAAUAACCCCAAACCAAAUAAUAACCAGUACAAUUGUCCCCAACAGCAACAACUUCGAUCCGUCCAACAGCAGCUGACAAUGAAUUGAAUCCCACAGAGGAGCCCCAAUUCCAAGAGUCAAACAAACAACGACACCGAAAAAUGAAAUAAAAGGACCCACAGUAUCUUGAAACCAAAAUCCCUUGAGAAAGUUUCUCAAAAACCCUUAAAUCCUUCGCAAUCACAACCCAGAAAACCAAGUAAAAAACCGAAAUCCAAAUCGAGAAACUAAUAAGAUCAAACGAUUAUGACACGAAAGGGUUUGAAGUGAGAGAGGCAAGAAAGAUAAUCGAAAGCGAUUACGUGAAGAGGAGGUCCCUCAGCACAAGUUUUCCACGAAACCCCUUUCGAUAUAUUUCUUUUGUUUCCUUAGUAUAACACAGCAGUCUACCGUCUACGUUUUCUCUAGCUUCUCCUUCUUCCACAAUUUUUAUUUUCCCUUUUCUUUUUUCUAAACAAAACAACGCAGAGAAGCUUAUGAGGGAAGCAACCACCGCCUAGCAGACUCUCUCCCUGUCUCUGUCUCUGUCUCUCUCCACAAUUAAAGUUUUCGAAGUACAGAAACCGAAGCAAACAGGUUUAUAUCGCCAAGCCCACGAACAAACUUUGGGAAAAAAAUCAAAAUAUAAUUAUAUAUAUUUUUUAAAAUAAAAAACUCAAAUUACAUCACACCCAAACGGAGUUGUUAAAAACAAAUUGUUACUAAUGUGACUGACUCGUUGGAUGCAGAAUAAUAACGACUUGUUGAAGACCUUCCAAGUUGGAAAUUGGAUGCACAUUUGGAAAUUGAACCGCCCUCCCAAGUUGAAGACUCUCAUAUAGACAAUUGUUGAUAAGAAAAUUCUUACUAAUGUGUAAAGAGUUAGAGGAGGUUUUACUACUCUUGCUACUUGUCCCAUAUGCAAUAUUGAUGAUGAGACUCUUUUGCACCUUUUCAGAGACCGUCUAAGAUCAAAAGCUAUUUGGAAGUCCAGGUUCUAUUUCUAAUUCUUUUUCAUUUGAUUCAAAUAGUUGGCUUGCUGCUUAGAUGCAUUGUCAUACCAGCAUCAAAAACAACAUUAAAUGGUGCAACCUUUUUGUGUUUGUGUACUAGUUUAUCUGGAAAUGGAGAAAUAAGGUGGUUUUUGAUCAUGCUUUUAUUUUGCAUGCCUGCCCCUGAGAAAAUUAUUUGGAAUUAUGUUGAGGAAUGGAACAGUACUCAAUCUAAAGCUAAUAUUAAUUCCAUGUGCAGCUAUACUAUGUUCUCUUGGUGUAAGCCUCCUGGGAAUUAUUUCAAAUUGAAUAUUGAUGGAAGUAGGUCUACUAACUCUAGAAAAAUUAGAGCUGGUGGAGUUCUUAGGGAUCACCUAGGCAGUUGGGUGGACAGUUUUCAGGUUAAUCUUAGAACAGGUGAAAUUCUAGAUGCUAAAGCUUGGGGCUCUUUUCUUGUCUCAAAAUGGUGUUUAAGCAUUCAAUUGUCAACUCAGGGAUUGAAUCAGAUUCUGCUAUUCUGGUUCAGCUUAUGCAAAAGUCUGAGAAUAUUGUUCAUCCCUUGAGAUCCUUACUUGAUGGUUAUGUUAUGAUGAUGUCAAAUCUGCAGAAUGCCAAGCUUAGUCAUAUUUUCAGAGAGUGCAACAUGGUGGCAGGUGUCUUGGCCAAGGAUAGCAUCAACCAUGAUCCUGGUUUAAUUACUUUUGUUGAAGCUCCUGUUCAUACUGCUCAAGCAAUUUUGGAUGACCUUACUGGUGUCACAAGAGCUAGAAGGACUGGUUUAUGUUCCAGUUCUUAGUUUUUCUUUUUGUUUUCCUUUGUUUGGGCCUUUUAGGUUCCUCUUGUAACUAAAAAAAAAAGUCGUUACUAAGUGUCACAAACCGAAGUUUGCGAUGCGCACAUAGAACUUGCCAAGCACUUGAUAUCCAUGACCUGGUAGCAAAGUCAGCUGCUAGAUACGUACAUUGCAAAGAACAAUUAAAAGCCACACAAUAUUAAUAUGGUAUUAGCGCGACAAGUAGAACAUAAUUAUAUAAAUGUUGGGUAACCAUAAGAAUAUUUUAGUAAAACCUCGAUAAAUAAAUAUAUGAUAAAUUAAUGAUCUCGAUUAAAUAAUUAUUUUUUUCGGAGAAAUUUAUUUCACUAUUAUUGUUUCCUUUCAAUAAAAGAAAUCUUUUUCAAAGACUUAAAAUGAGCUUGAAGAGCCACCGACAGUCGAAUCGGGGUUGAUCCCGACCAAUUUGCAAUAUAAAAUUCACGAACCUUAAGGCACAACCUUGGAAGAGUUUGUUGAUUGCUGGAAACAGAACAUACGGUAACCGCAAAUUCGCACAAUUACUUCCCCUUGUUUGGUCCAAGUAGUACCAGACUCCUAUUUUGUUGAUUGGAGAUUGAAAUAGAAGAACAAAUGAAUUGAAGAAGAAAGAGACGGAUAGAAGAAAUAAUUAUGGUAAAGAAGAACAAAUAAAUUGGAGAAGGAAGAGAUGGAUAGGUAAAUGUGUGGAAAAUGAAGAAUAGUAGUAUGGUAUUUAUAGAAGAUUUUGUUGAUUUUGUAAAAGUAAAACGACAAUUGGAAUGGUUUACUCAUUUCAUUAACAAUCCUCUUUAUCUAGAGGUCAAUUACGAUGGUAAUUACACGCACAUAAUAUCGAUAUUCAAUUAUAAUAACAACGUACAUAAUGACUAAUUGAGCUGUUACAUUCAUUGAUUAAUAAAUUCUUAAUUUACUCUCGUCAAUUAUUUUGACAAAGACACACUCAAGGUAUUUUUCUUUCAACACUCCCCCUCGUGCCAAGUUAAAGUUAAAACGGUGCAUGGGGUGUUGCCUCAUUAAAAACCUUGCUAAGUAACAAAACCCUGUGGGAAAAAUAAAAGCUUGGUUAAAGGGGAAAAAGAGCACAACGCACCUAUGAUAGUGUAUGUGUCAAGACCCACCCCGACUAUCACCCUAAAACCCAAAGUAAAUCAUGCGGGGUCCCUCCAAGGAAAAUUUACCGAAAAUUUGGCAUAAUCUAUCUUGAAAAUGGACAACCCUUACCUGAAAAAAAUUUCAAAUAAACACUUCUAUUAUAAAUCAUUCAUCCUCAACUCCUGGAGCCAUCCUGCUCCCCAAGUUCAUCACAUCUCCCAAAAUACAUCAAGCUUUAAUCAACUAAUAACAAUCUCAAAUGGUUAUCAGAGCAUAUCAAUAAUGAAGGAAAAACAAAGAAUAUAGAAUAAGGGGAAGUAGUCUCUGACUUAGCAUGGAAACUGGGUAUUUAAAACCAAAGGGCCAAGGGGAAAGUAAUUUAAAAACGUUAGAGUGAGUGGACAAAAAUAAAUUAAAUAAUUUAACAAAAAUGUAAUUUAAUAUUUUCCCACGUUUGAACUUUUAAAAUCUCGAUGCACGCAACUUUGAUAUAACAUUUAACUUAAAAUCCAUAAUCACAUAAAAAUGGACAAACCAGCCCCGUUGGUUAAUCAAAUAUAAAAAUUUCGUCAGAAGAGAUAAACCAGCCCCGCUAGUUAAUCAAUUACAUAAAUGAGAAAAAAAUAAGACAAGGGGAAGAUAUAUUACCAUGUAAGAGGAGCCUCCAAGUCUCGGGUCGGUGCCUCUCAGAUUAUAGUAGCGUCCCACACUAAGCGCUCGACUCACCUAUAGUGAGGACCGCUAAUAAGGCUACCCAGCAAUAAAUAAUAAUAUCCGAUCGGUGCCUCCCAGGCUAUAAUAGCGUCCCACGCUAAGCGCUCGACUCACCUAUGAUGAGGACCGCUAAUAAGGCUAGCUAGUAAUGAAUAAAAGCGACCCUAUAAUAUGGUGACUAAAAAUAUACUAAAUCACUUAAAUCCAUAAAGCUUCCCCAAGAUCAUACGAAUGAUACGGUUCCCAACCGUACUUGGAAAUUAUCAUAAGAAAUUAAAAUAAACUCAAUGACGUGUCUCACACGUCAAAAUAUUCUCAAAUCCAUAAUUAUAAGCGAGAUUUAAUUAUCAAAUAUAAAUUGUAAAUAAUUUCAUAAUCCGAAAAUACUCGCUAAAAAUAUUCUGAAUGUCAAUAUCGAUACUUCACAAGUAAAUGAGAAAGUUAUAAAUAGAGAACUAUCGAAAAUCUCAUUUUCAGUAAUCUUUUAUAAAUCUCACAAUCAACAAAAUAAAACUGAUAAUAAUUAAAUCCGGAGUCAUAAAGAAUAUCAAAACUCAAAUACUAACUUUAAAACCCAAGCUCAAAUCCAUAAAUCAUGACCAACACUUAAUCAAUACUUCAAACUCAAAUAAAUUCAAGACCAUAUCAUAAACCGAAAUCAUAAUAUGAGCUCGGUAAAUAGAACAAUAAUUUCCAAAAUAAAUCAUGCAUGCAUAUUCCUUUAAAAACCAAGUGUUCACUCACAAAUUUAGGCAUAAGCCCGACGAUAUCCGCAACGCCAUACGUGUGAGGUCUCCAUGAAUCCUAACACCAUAAGCAUAAUUAGAACCACCAAUUUUGGAAAAGUAAAUGCUUUAGAAUAACACCCCGAAAAUCUUCUGCCAAACCACUACCCUAGCUAGGGUUAAGUUUAUCGAAUUCAUGCCAAACUCCAACCGCAACCUCACUUCAUCGAUUCUAGCACUUAAGGACCAUAUCCAAGUAAAUCAAAUGGUCGGAUUUUCAUUCUAUCUAACAACCGCCAAAAUUCUCAAUCUUCGAAAAAUCCCAAACGUAACCAAAACUCUUCCAAAAAUUCCAAACUUCAGAUCAUUAAACUCCUCUCAUUAAAACAAAUUCAAAAACAUGAAAAACUACCCCUAAGCGGCAGCAGCGGCCGGCAACCGAACUACGACGACCUCCAAUGCUCCCCAAAAUUUAACACAAUAUUCCUCUCAACACGCAAACAACUUCUCUAACUAGCACAAACACCAAUUCCAAGCCUAGAGGGGGUAAUCGAACCAAAACAUUAAAUUGAGCUCAAGAACUUCAAUUAUACAUUUCUCCUUAAGAUCGAAUUGAACCGAUUUCUUUUGAGGGGUUACUACCCUGAAUGAGAGCUACAAGAUGAGCCAAGAAUUGCUAGCUAUGGCUGCCGAAGGAGGGAGCUCUGGUGAAGAGGUAGUCGAGUUCUGUGGAGAAGUUUCUCCCGAUCGGCGGCGCUACACGCUCGGUCACCAGCCCAGGAAGAGAGAGGUGGCGACGGUGGUUCGAUCGGGACUGGAGCGGCGGCCCAUCUUGGCCGAACGGCGGCAGACGACGUCGGGAAACUUCCGGCAGGGUGAGAGAGUGAGAGAGAGUCGAGAGGGAGGAGAGAGAGGAGAGAGUAGGGUUUGGGCUUUUCCCAAACCGGUCCAACACUUAAUACCCCAAAAAAAAUAAAGCCUACUAAAAUUUACCCCUUUUUUACCAACAAAAAUUUACCCUUUUUUAUUUUAUUUUUUUUUUAUCUGAAAACUUUUACAUGUUAACUUCGAUUUUAACGUAUAAUAUGUCCACGAAUUCGUAUUAACGUCCUCUACGACUUCCUUAAAGUAAUUUUCCCAAAAUAAUUUUCCUACAAAAAGUCAACCCUAGGGUCCUUAAGUAGUAAACUGUUACUCAAAACGGUAAAACACCAAAGUAAUACUAAAAGUAAAUAACCGUAAAAUAACUUAAGAACCGGGAUGUGACAGUAUGUGUGUUAGACUCCCCUUGAAGUCUACUGUCACACCCCAACUCAGAAAUUUUAAGAAAAUAUGGUUCUUUUCUGAGUAAAGAUGUGAAUAAUUUCAACUUAUCAAGGAUAAGAAAAACUUUGGACAAGUAAAAGUUAUAUGAGAACCCUUGAAUCAGAGGUAACUUAAUGAAGGAGUAAACUUUAUUUCAUAAAUAUUGUUCUUACAGCAAACAGGAAAGAAAGCUUAUAAACUAAGCUUUAUUACACAAAUAGAAUUUAAAAAAAAAACAGCAAGCCAUAGUUUACUCCUCCUAGACUUCAUCCCUUCUAGGUAUUAAGUUUUUAUCCCUCAAAGAGUAACAUCUGCACAAAUACAUAAAGGGGUGAGCCAUAAACUCAGUAGAGCAAAUCUCAUGUCAUUUCAAUAAACAAAUAGUGUAUGCACAUAUAUAGGUUAAGUUUUCAAAUUGGUACUCUUGUACUAUCCUUGGUCACCACUGUCUUCUUGCCAUGAUAGAGAUCAGUUUAUCAAUUUGAAAUUGAAAUGGCUUCUCUCCCUAUUUGUAUACAAAAGGCUGACAUAGCUAGUCCCUUUCAAGUGAUAGACUCAACCCCAUAACUUCAUUCAUUCAACAUAGGAUCAAAUAAUAAUAUGAUGUUGAGCUAAACAUAACUUCAUUCAUUCAACAUAGGAUCAAAUAAUAAUAUGAUGUUGAGCUAAACAUAAUAACUAUCUUUAACAAACAACAUGUACAAUUCCAAAGAAAGAUAACAAAAUUAUAAAACAGAGAGAUUCCCCAUAACUUCCCUUACCUCAAACCUGUUUUACCAAAAUUGAAAUUUCACUAUUAGAUACUAGUACUUUGCUUCAGACCUCCAUUAGUUUUUUUCUUCUUCUAACUUUUCUCUAUGUUUCUGAACUUUACUUUUUUUUAUUUCCUCAGGUGAAUACCUCUAUUUAUAGUAGGAAAAGUAAUCAGCCACCUGUAGCUUCCCUAGCCUAUCUUAGUUAGACACUUAUCAUUCUAACUGUUAAUUUGCUGCCACAUAUUAAUGUUAAAACACUUGAAAUUUAUCUUCAAGUGCCAGCAGUUGUUUUUAAACUUGAUGUCUAAGUUUAAGCUGCUCACAUAGCAGGUAUUUGCAAUCCACAAGUUUGAUUGAGGUUUUCAGACUUUCACUUGUGAUUGCCUGCAUGUAGUCAUGUGUUAAGCAUAAGCUAGCAAGUAGGUGAAUCAGCAUUUCAAAUAAAACAAAGCAGCAAUCCAAAAAUAAUU